rnacentral:lncRNA from 1 species
CCUAACUGAUGAUCUUCAAUGACUACAGUCUAAGUUUGAUAACCUUCAAGGUCUUCAUGAAACUCUCUUAGCUGAUCAUGAGAAGCUUUCUUAUGAAUUUCUUCAGAGAAAGCAAGAUAUUGAGAAGCUAAUGGUGAGUCAUGAAGAUCUUCAGAAGGAAAACGAUUCAUUGCUUGCUCAACAUAUCAGUUCUGCUCCGGAUGAAUUCAUUCCACCAUGUUUGAAAUGCAUUGAACGUGAAUCUGCUAAUUCUUCACCUGAAAGUUCAAAUGCUUCUAUUGCUGCAAAUUCUUCAACUAUCUUUGUGGUCACAAAUUCCUCAUCUGAGGAUACCACAAGUAUCACUGACAAUGCAGGGUUGAAGGAAUUGUAUGUGACAGGCAUGUACAAAAGCCUCAAAGGGCAUCAGGAUCUUUGUGAUGUGCUUAAGAAGUAGAUCCUCAACAGGAACCCUAGGAAAGAGGGUAUUGCAUUUGAGAGGAAACUCAAUUCUGAUGGGUCCUACUGGAAACCUGAGCAGUACUCCAAAACCAAAUGGGUUGCUGCAAAAGGACCUCCUGUAGAUCCAUCCACUUUAUUUGGCUUUACAUGUGAAUCUUCAUAUUCAUCUGAUGAGUCAUAUUCAUGUGAUGUGCUGCAAAAGGACCUCCUGUAGACCUCAUAUGAACUCCUCACUGACAAGAAACCCAAUGUGAGUUAUUCCAAAGUCUUCGGUGCUAAAUGUUGGAUUAGAGAUCCUCAUCGCAAUUCUAAAUUUGCACCGAAAGCACAUGAGGGUUUUAUGCUUGGUUACGGAAAGGACCCGCACACCUACAGGGUCUUCAACAACUAUCACAACAAGGUUGUUGAAACUAUAGAUGCGCUGUUCGAUGAAACUAACGGCUCACAAAGAGAGCGCCUUCCUCCUGUGCUAGAUGAAAUGUCUCCUGAGGAAUCCAUCAAGUUCAAGGCUACUAAGGAUGUCAUAACUACUGAAGAAUCUGUUGAAGAAGUCAUUCUAGAACGUGAAGAAAAUCAUGCUAGUGCAUCUGAGGAAAAUGGCUCUGAAGAAAAUGUUGAGCCCCAUCAAAGUCGUCAACCUGCUCAUCCUCACGUGGCAAAUGAAGUGCAAAUUGAGAGAAUUAUCGACGACAUCAACGCACCAGGUCCUUUCACAUGCUCAAAAGCUUCACAUUUGUCUAACUUUUGUGGGCACUUCGCUUUUGUCUCUAUCACAGAGCCCACCAAAGUUGAUCAGGCAUUUCUUGAGCCUGAGUGGAUUCAAGCUAUGCAAGAGGAAUUACAUCAAUUCGAGCUCAACAAUGUCUGGGAACUUGUCAAGCGACCAGACCCAUGCAAGCACAAUAUCAUCGAUACCAAAUGGAUCCACCGCAACAAGCAAGAUGAAAAUGGCCUAGUGGUGAGGAACAAGGCUCGUCUUGUAGCUCAAGGCUACACACAGGUUGAAGGAAUUGAUUUCGCUGAAACUUUUGCACCUGUUGCUAGACUUGAGGCUAUUCGCAUAUUGCUUGCUUAUACUAACCAUCAUAAUAUCAUCUUAUAUCAAAUGGAUGUGAAAAGUGCAUUCCUCAAUGGUAAGCUUGAGGAAGAAGUAUAUGUUGCUCAACCACCAGGUUUUCAAGAUCCUAAGCAUCCUAACAAAGUCUUCAAACUCAAUAAGGCCCUCUAUGGCCUCAAGCAGGCCCCUCGGGCAUGGUAUGAUACAUUGAAGAAUUCCUCAUGAAGAAAGGCUUCAAACCCGGUUCACUUGACCCAACUCUUUUCACCAAAACAUAUGACGAUGAAUUAUUCGUGUGCCAAAUAUAUGUUGAUGAUAUUAUCUUUGGCUGUACUAACCAACGUUACAGUGAUGAAUUUGCCUGUAUGAUGAAUGAGGAAUAUCAAAUGUGUAUGAUGGGAGAAUUGGAAUUCUUCUUAGGUCUUCAAAUUCGUCAACAACACAAUGGCAUCUUCAUACCUCAAGAGAAAUACCUCAAGGAUGUGCUGAUGAAAUUCGGCAUGCAAGAUUGCAAAGGUGUCAAAAUCCCUACGCCCACAAAUGGCCAUCUAUGCACCGAUGAAAACGGUAUAGACUUUGAUCCAAAGGUAUACCGCUCCAUGAUUGGCUCUUUAUUGUAUCUAUGUGCAUCUAGGCUAGAUAUUAUGCUUAGUGUUUGCAUGUGUGCCCGUUUUCAAGCUACACCGAAGGAAUCACACCAUAAGGCUGUGAAGCAUAUUCUUCGAUAUCUAGCUCACACUCCAACACUUGGAUGAUGGUAUCCCAAGGGCUCGGCUUUUGAUCUCAUUGGAUAUUCUGACUUUGACUAUGCUGGUGAUCGAGUGGAUCGCAAGUCAACAUCAGGCACAUGCCAUUUCCUCGGACAAUCCUUAGUAUGUUGGUCCUCGAAGAAGCAGAAUUGUGUAUCACUCUCUACUGCUAAAGCUGAGUACAUUGCUGCUGGUUCUUGCUGCGCUCCAUUUUUGUGGAUGAAGCAAACCCUCAAGGACUAUGGCAUCAACAUUAAGAAUGUGCCACUCUACUGCGACAAUGAGAGUGCCAUCAAGAUUGCUCAUAACCCAGUUCAGCACUCGAACACUAAGCACAUUGAGAUUCGUCAUCAUUUUCUUCGUGAUCAUGAGUUGAAGGGCGACAUCUCCAUCGACCACGUGAAGACUGAAGAACAGCUAGCGGAUAUCUUCACAAAGCCCUUGGAUGAGAAGAGAUUUAGCGAGUUGCGGUGUGAGCUAAAUAUCUUAGAAUCUUCGAAUGUUGUUUGAAAGGACACACAUCCUAACACUUAUGCAAAAUUGAUGACUUAGAUGUACAACUCACGAAGUAACGUUUUUCUUCAAUCAAUAAAGACUAACCCUCUAAGUGUGAAGAAAUUAAUGAAGAAUUUGAUUCUCAGAUCCCUACAACAAUUGUACGCGGUGUCUCAUCAUUCUCAUAUGGUGGGUCAUGCCACCAACAAAAGUUGGAAAUCUUCAAAAAUGAAUUUUUCAUCAUUUUGCAAGUUUUCAAUUUUUCAAAUUCUUCAAAUGUUCAAAUUCUUCAACUUUGCAAUGUCUUCAAACUUUUCGACUGGUGUUUUUCAUUAACUAUAUAUAUAUAUGAGUUUUCAUGUCCUCAGUAGCAUUCACUUAUAGCUAAUUCUUCAAGUUGAUUUUCUUCUCUAUGCUAAACUCAACCCAGUCUGUUCACAAAUUCUUCAUGUGCAUUCUGUUUGAAAACCGUUCAAAAUCUUCACUGUGUCCUUGACAGCUGAAGAAUUUGUGAACGAAACUUCAAAAUAUUCCUUUCAAAUUUUUGGUUGUUGCCGCUCAAACCGUUCCGCGUCCCACGAUGAAUUAAACAACUCACCCACGACCCUCCACGAUCUCCAUCUCUCUGUACGUGGGUGACACAUGUCAUUAGAAGAGUAAGGGUCACGGGCAUGUUCGUCCUGAAUCUUCGGACGAGCAAUUUUUCACCGUGGCUAUAAAUACCCCUCCCCUUACUUAGACCUCAUUUACUCCGCUUGAUCUCACUUCCCUCGCUCGAGCUCUCAGACCUAGCGCCGCCGCUACUCUCCAUCGUCGCCGGUGAGAAAGAGCUUCACUGCCUCGACCUUGUCGUCGUCGUACUCGUGCCGGCCGCAGAUAUCUUAACUACGCCGUUGCUGUAGCUGUCUCCCGCCGCCAAGUUAGGGCGUGGGAGAUCUGAACGGAUGAACUUCUCCAACUCCACUCUCAGUUCAUCAUGUUCUUCAUCCAGGGUAAUUAAAAUCUAAUUUUACUACUCUACUUCGAUUCUUAUGAUUUCCAAAAAAUCUUCAAAAGGUGUUUAUUCUACAACUUAACACUCCUUAAACACCAGAUGCUUAUGUACCUUGAUUUGUUUCUCUAAGCUAUGUUUUUCUUCAAGAUUCCUCAAUUGUGUGGAUUUUCAAAUCUAUACAACUCUGGAACCUAAGUUGUCGGCGUUCUGGGAACGGGGGUUCCCAGACUUGCCAGCCUGCGGCCCAUGGCAUGGCUCUACUCGCUGCCCAGUAGGGGCCCGUCUUCACCAGCAAACACUCAAGACCCUCAUGAGGGGCCAAACCUCACGAGGCGGACGACACAAGACCUCCUCGGGAGCGGCCACACCAGGCUGGCUCGCGAGGGGCGGAGAGAUCAAGGCAAGGGACACCUCGCGAGGUUCCCGUGAUGCAAGCCAUGACGACCGCAGCCAGGCGGGCGCCAGCGCGCAGUGUCCUCAUUUCCUCUUUGGUGCUAAAGAGGCAAGCGCAGGCGCGGAGUCCCGAUGCAUCAGGCAAAGGUUUCCAUAUCGGUGCAACGAGACCAAGACCAGCAGGACGGAGGUCACCCUGGAGCCCGAGACAGCGUCACCACCAGAGCCUUUGGCAGGUGAAGACCACUUUUGUCAGGAUAAGCUGUACUAGCUGUCCCCCUUCAAACUUGGCCAUUGUGGGAUCCCUUCCCGCUCAAUAUUUGGGAAGAGGACCCGGGCCUCUAUAAAUAGGACUAGCCACCUCCAUAGUGGGGGGGAUUUUUCAGCAGCUCACCAAGCAAAAGAACACCUCACCUCAGGAGGUUAUUCUUCCCUUGUAACUGUUCAUCCUCAGCCCGAGAGGCAAUCCACCACACCACACUGGAGUAGGGUAUUACACCACAAUGGUGGUCCAAACCAGUAUAAAUCACGUGUCCCUCUGUUCUUUGAGUUCGUCGAGCUAGGCCGUGAGAUCCUUGAGCGAGCUAGCUAUCGAGGGAGAGAGAGAUCUUUGUGCGCACCCCAGUGUUCGAACCUCAAGGGUUUUGCCGGAACCCGAAAUCCGACAUUUGGCGCGCCAGGCAGGGGUGCGCCGAAGCUUCGCUCCCUCGACGGCUACGCAUCUCCGAUCAGCUCCCAUGGACGGCGCCGCUUCUCUGACUGGAUCGACGGGCGCCCUGAGUGGCACCAUGGGGCUCCGAGCCCUCACCCCCGCCUUAAGGCGGGUAUGGUGGCCGCCCAAGUUCAGGCCGGAGAUGCCGCCCCGCUACGACGGAGCGGCAGAUCCGGUGGCCUUCCUGCUAGCAUACGAGGAGGCCGUUCUAGAGGACGGCGGCGACGAUAAGGUCAUGGCCAACUGGCUCCCCAUGGCCCUCACUGGCGUGCCGCGCGCUUGGCUCCUCCAUCUGCCGGGAUCUUCUGCGGCUUCCUGGGGGGGAUUCUGCGAUCUCUUCAUCGCGCGCUUCAGGGGGGCCAGCACCCCCUGUCGUCGCGGCCCUCCUAGGCGGCUCGCACGCGCCGCCCUCAGAUCGUCAUGCCAAGCCGUUCUUUCGCCAGAUCGGCGCCGCCUCCACGCGACAGGGGACUCCCCCAGGUUGGGCGGCGCCCAAGGCCUACCUAAUCUUCGACUCGGGGGAUCACCCUGCCACCACCAUCGGUUCGGGUGUGCUCCCAAUGCUUUGCACGCCCACCAUCUGCAGCGUAGCCAUCACCAAGACCCUCAUCGACAGCGGCGCCGGCCUCAACGUGUUCUCUAUGGAGGCUUUUAGCCUCCUCCACAUACCGCUUGAGCGGCUCCGCCCCAGCAAGCCCUUCUCCGGGGUUGGCGGCGGCUCCUCCAACCCCCUGGGGCAGAUCUGUCUCCCCGUGACUAUGGCACACGCGACAACUACCACACCGAGCUAAUCGACUUCGACAUCGCCCGCAUCGACCUUCCGUACAAGGCCAUCCUCAGGUACCCGGCGCUGGCCCGGUUCAUGGCAGCUACUCAUCCUUCCUACAACCUCAUGAAGAUGUCGGGGAGCAAGGGCGUCCUCACCGUGGCUGGGGACACCAAGGAAGCCUUGGCGGCCCUCAAACUCGCCUUCAAGGCUGCGACGCCAGCUUGUCCGGCUGGCAAGGCCGAACCCAGAGUCAAGGGGGCUACGCUAACCAAGACGAAGCAGCUAUUCACUCAAGGCCAAGCCAAGACAAAGCAAAUACCGGUCGACGAGGACGGGGCCUCGGGCGCCACCUUUACCAUAGGCACCGACCUCGCCCCAGAUCAAGAAAAGGCGCUGGUGGACUUCCUGAGGGCCAACAAGGAAGUGUUCGCCUGGGAACCCGAUCAGCUAGUAGGGGUCCCAAGAGGAGUGAUUGAGCAUCACCUGAAGAUGUGCCCCAAUGUACGCCCUGUGAAGCAAAGGGCGCGGCGGCAGUCCGCGGAAACAGUCUUUCAUCGUCCAAGAAACCCGCAAGCUGGAGGCGGCCGGUGUCAUUCACGAAGUCCGGUACCCGGAGUGGUUGGCAAACCCCGUCGUUGUGCCCAAGAAAGGCGGAAAGGAACGCAUGUAUGUCGACUUCACCAACCUCAACAAGGCCUGCCCCCAAGAUCCGUUCCCGCUUCCACGCAUCGACCAGAUCUUCGACUCCACCGUUGAGUGUGACCUGCUGUGCUUCCUGGAUGCGUUCUCAGGCUACCACCAGAUCAAGAUGGCGGUAGAAGACGUCGAGAAGACGGCCUUCCUGACCCCGUGCGGGGUAUACUGCUACACUUGCAUGCCGUUCGGGCUGCGCAACGCGGGCGCGACCUUUCAACGGCUGAUGCACAUCGCCCUGGGUCGGCAGCUCGGGAGGAAUGCUGAAGCCUACGUCGACGACAUUGUGGUGAAGUCUCGGGAGGCGAGAACUUUGAUUCAGGACCUGGAGGAGACCUUCGCGAGCCUACGCCAGGUGGACUUGCGGCUCAACCUGGAGAAGUGCGUGUUUGGUGUCCGUUCCGACAAGCUGCUGGGUUUCCUUGUGUCCCACAGGGGGAUCGAGGCCAACCCGGAAAAGGUCCAGGCAUUUGAAGACAUGAGCCCACUGCAGACCCUCAAGGAGAUGCAGAAGCUUGCCGGCUGUGUGACCUCACUUGGGCGUUUCAUCUCCAAGCUGGGGGAGCGUGCCUUGCCGUUCUUCAACCUAAUGAAGAAGAAGGGUCCGUUCGAGUGGACCCCCGAGGCCGACCUGGCAUUUCAAGACCUCAAGAGAUACUUGACCAGCCAACCAGUAAUGGUGGCACCUCGACCUCUCGAGCCCUUGGUGCUCUAUCUAUCUGCCACACCCCACUCUGCCAGCGCGGCGCUGGUGGCCCUUAGAGAAGAGUGCCAGGUCAAGGGCCCGCCUAGUGGAACUGCCAGGCCGAACGAGGCAGCGCGACACCAAGGCGAUGCUCCUGAAGCAGCGGCUGCUUCGGCAGGACGUCAAGCCCCUGAAGCCGAAGACCCGGAAGAAACACCUCAACCCCCGGGAGCUGAAGACUCCGACAACUCCCCCGCCCUUAUCGAGCACCCGGUGUACUUUGUCAGCAUGGUGCUAUGAGAUGCGAGGGCAUGAUACCCCAUGCCCCAGAAGCUCCUGCUCGCGCUCCUGCUCGCGCUCCUGGUAGCCUCGCGCAAGCUGCGCCACUACAUCCAGGGUCACCCAUCAAGAUCGUCUCGGCCUACCCGCUGGAGAGAGUGCUCAGGAGCCCCAAUGCUGCGGGACGAGUUGCUGAAUGGAACAUCGAGGUGCAAGCGUUUGACUUAGAGUUCAGCACGGCUAGGGUCAUCAAGGGGGCCGCGCUUGCACAUUUUGUGGCGGAAUGGACCGACGCCCCGAAGCUCGUAGCAGGCGAGAACCAAUCCCUGUCACCAGGGAGUGAAGCGCCGGCCGGCUGGGUCAUGUACUUCGAUGGCGCGUUCUCGCGUCAGGGUGCGGGGGCUAGAGCAGUGCUUAUCUCGCCCACCCAGGACAAGCUCUACUACGCCGUGCAGCUCUGCUUUCCGCGAGGUGAGAAGGUCUCCAACAACAUUGCUGAGUACGAGGGGUUGAUUGCGGGCAUCAAGGCAGCAGCGGUUUUAGGAGUGAAGUGCCUCACCAUCAAGGGCGACUCGCAGCUCCUCGUCAACUUCUCCAACAAGGUAUAUGAGCCGAAGGAUGAGCACAUGGAGGCGUACCUUGCGGAGGUAUGCAAGAUGGAGAAACAGUUCUUGGGCCUGGAGUUGCAGCAUGUGCCCCGUGGCACCAACAAGGAAGCCGACGACAUCGCCAGAAGAGCAUCCAAGCGCCUACCCCAAGAGCCUGGCGUCUUCGAGGAACGGCUCUUCAAACCAUCGGCAACACCGCCACUCUAAAGAACAACGCUACCUGGGGAGGAGCUCCCUCAACCACCUGCCUCGGGAGCCCCGGCCUGCGGCCCAACCUCGGGAGCGCGUUUGCUCUUGGCGCUCGAGCCUCAGGAGGGGUGCUGGACCAAAGAUUUCAAGGAAUACCUGACACAAGGGACGAUGCCGGAAAAGGAGGAGGGCACGGAGCGUGUGGCCCGACAGGCCACGGCAUACUGUAUCCAGGACGGUGAGUUAUACAGGAAGCGGCCAAAUGAUGUUACCCUGCGUUGCAUCUCCAGGGAGCAAGGGAAGGAGCUACUAGCAGACAUACACGGCGGGGACUGCGGCCACCACUCGUCGUCACGGACCCUCGUCGACAAGGUGUUUCGCAGUGGAUUCUAUUGGCCCACGGCACUCAACGACACGACUGAGCUAGUGAAGUCCUGUGAGGCCUGUCAGUUCCAUGCCAAGCAGAUCCAUCAGCUGGCUCAGGGCCUACAGACCAUCCCACUCUCGUGGCCAUUCGCGGUCUGGGGCUGGAUAUCUUGGGCCCAUUCCCUCGAGCGCCUGGGGGCUACCGCUACCUCUACGUCACCAUCGACAAGUUCACCAAGUGUGCGGAGGUAGAAGCCGUCCGCACCAUCCCGGCCGGCUCCGCGGCCAGGUUCAUCAAAGGUCUCGUGAGCCGGUUUGGGGUCCCUAACCGUAUAAUCACCAACAAUGGCUCACAAUUCACUAGCAAUCUCUUCAAAACGUAUUGUGCUAACCUUGGAACGCAGAUCUGCUACGCUUCCGUGGCACACCCCAGGAGCAAUGGCCAAGCCGAACACGCUAAUGCGGAAGUCUUGAGGGGCCUCAAGACCAGGACCUUCAAGAAGAAGCUCGAGGCCUGCGGCAGGGGCUGGCACGACGAGCUCCAGUCCGUGCUGUGGUCCAUCCGCACCACCGCCACCAAGCCGACAGGCGAGACACCGUUCUUCCUCGUCUACGGAGCAGAAGCGGUUCUCCCACAUGAUGUCAGGCAUCGCUCCAUGCAGGUCCUGGCGUUCGACGAAACGCAGCAGGACGCCAUGCGGGGGAUGGAUCUCGUGCUGGGGGAGGAACGCUGCCGUGAAGCCUCGCUCCGAGCUGCGAGAUACCAGCAGGCGCUGCGGCGGUACCACUGCCGCAGCGUCUGCUCCAGGAUGCUCGAGGUGGGUGAUCUCGUCCUGAGGCAGGUGCUCUCCAGGGAAGGGCUGCACAAGCUCUCGCCCAUGUGGGAGGGCCCGUUUCGGGUCGCCCAUGUCUCCAGGCAUGGCGCCGCGCGCCUGGAGACGCAGGACGGGAUCCCCAUCCAGAACGCCUGGAACAUCCAGCACCUCCGGAAGUUCUACCCAUGAAGAAAGGCCCAGCGCCUGUGAAGAAGGCCCAGUGCCUGUGAAGGUCUCCGCUCGUGACACUCUCACGUAAUAAUGAGUGGGGCUGUACACGCCCCGGAGUCUCAGGAGUGCCGCCCUCGGGCCUCGGGGGCUCCCUCCCACGUCCAAGUGGCAGCACUUAGCUCCGCGCUGGUGAGAAGACAACAAGACUAGACUAGGUGACGGACGCAGCUUUUCAUUUGCUUUCAGCAGUUGGUUUGCCUCUCUUUAAUGAAAUUUGCUUUCUGGUGUUCCUUGUUGGAUUGGUUCCAUCGCCUUUUGCCUCCUUUUUCCGCCCUCGGUUCCUCGUUUUGGCCCGUACUCUCCCUCGCAUGCCUCGCGAGGGGGCUGGACGGGUGCCCUCAUGAGCGUUUUCCCUGUUCUUCGCGAGGCACCCUCACUUGAGCUCGCAACUGGCACACCUCUUUCAAUCUGUGCCCCUCGGGUACCGCGAUGCGAAACGCUGGGCCAUGGCCGGCCGCGCCUACGACCAGGACUCGGCAGGCCUCAGAGAAUCAGAAUUUUCUAACAAAUUUUUGCAGUCCCUAGACGCCUCUCAAGUCGCGGAAGCCUCGUGAGGCAUGCAACUGCUGCUUCGAGCGCACCAAGCUAAGUUAUUUAUACACGCCUACGUAAAACGUUGAUGCUGCGACGUGACGCAGGGACAAUAAACAUAGCAUAGCGAUUUAGAGAUCACGGUUCGUUUCACGCCCCUGCAGGGCCCCAUACUUGUCUUUUUAAAGUGCAGAAAGGAAGAAAAGGACAAAAAAAGCGGCGCGAGCACCCGCAACAGCUCGCGAGGAUGGGCCCACGACGCCCCGCCGGACUCAGCCAGACUCCUCCUCGCGCUUCACUGAGGCGCGGCGACGAGGCGGCCCGCUGCCGCCCUCGAGGCGGGCGCGGCGGCAUGGAGGCUGGUCGUAGCCGCCGCUGCUGGAGCCCUCACCGGAGGAAGAGCCGCCGUAGCUGGAUGAGCUGCGACAGGCACCAAGGGUGAGCUCGCCCUCGUCACGGCCGUCGCCAAGGCCGAGCACCUCAUUGCCGUCGUUGUCCUCGGGGUAGCACCCGACGCGGCGACCAUCUUCCCCAAACACCCUCACGAAGAGGAUCGUGUCGCCGUCGUACUUGAGAUGGAGGGUGCACCGCCUGCCCAGACCGCGAGCGCGGGCGAACGUCUGCCAACCGCGGGCAAGGGCCAUGUUUCCCGCGGCGGAGAUCUCCACCGCGACCCACGAAGCCUUGCUGCAGCAGUCGUCCGCCUGCAGCCAGAGCCCACCUGGACCCAUGGCUGGCAGCUGUCAGCAAAGAAGCGCGAAAGCUGAAGCCAGGUGCCGGCCGGAUUCUCCGACCACACGACGAACUCCGGCAGCACCUCCGCCGAGUGGAAGCGUGGCCGGGAAGGCCGCGCGACCACAGCGUGCCUCCCUCCAUCGACGGGGCUGCUACGGCAUGGGCGACUCCCGCCACGCGGGGGGGCGCUGCCGGGGCAGCGGGCAGCCACUGCGGAGGUCGCGGCGUGCUUGCGGGGACGGCCGCGCCCGCGCUUGGGCGGCGGGGAGCCGGGCCCCUCUUGGCGAGCCUUCCCCUUCUCCGCGGCCGGGAACCUCUUCGCAGGCGCCAUGGAAGUCGCUACUGGCAAUGGAGCGCGGAAGAAGAAGCGAGCGGAGCAAGAAGAGAUGAGCGACGGGGGCUCUGCCCCCCUCCUUAUUUAUAGCAAGAGAAGGCCAACCGGCGACCCCCACGAUCUCAGGUAAUCAUAACCCUUUUUGCAUGCAGCAGGGACUCGUCAAGUCGGGCAGUUGCCGAGUCAGCAUGGGGAAGCGGAGAUGCCCACGUCCAAUCAAUCGCCACGCAUCGACCAAGGCCGCACGCUGUUGGGGCCCGCGGCGCUCCGCACUUUCCCUUUGGCUUCGCCUCGAAGCCAAGUCCAAGCGCGCUUGGGCCCGGGGGCUACUGUCGGCAUUCUGGGAACGGGGGUCCCCAGACUUGCCUGCCUGCGGCCCACGGCGUGGCUCUACUCGCGGCCCAGUACGACCCGUCUUCACCAGCAAACAAUCAAGACCCUCGCGAGGGGCCAAGCCUCGCGAGGCGGACGACACAGGACCUCCUCGGGAGCGGCCUCACCAGGCUGGCUCGUGAGGGACGGAGAGAUCAAGGCAAGGGACACCUCGUGAGGUUCCCGUGACGCAAGCCAUGACGACCGCAGUCAGGCGGGCGCCAGGCGGGCGCCAGCGCGCGCAGUGUCCUCGUUUCCUCUUUGGUGCUAAAGAGGCAAGCGCAGGCGCGGAGUCCCGAGGCAUCAGGCAAAGGUUUCCAUAUCGGUGCAACGAGACCAAGACCAGCAGAACGGCAGUACGGAGGUCACCGUGGAGCCUGAGACGGCGUCACCACCAGAGCCUUUGGCAGGCGAAGACCACUUUUGUCAGGAUAAGCUGUACUAGCUGCCCCCCUUCAAACUUGGCCGUUGUGGGAUCCCUCCCCGCUCAAUAUUUGGGAAGAGGACCCGGGCCUCUAUAAAUAGGACUAGCCACCUCCAUAGUGGGGGGGGGGGAUUUUUCACCAGCUCACCAAGCACAAGAACACCUCACCUCAGGAGGCUGUUCUUCCCUUGUAACUGUUCAUCCUCAGCCCGAGAGGCAAUCCACCACACCACACUGGAGUAGGGUAUUACACCACAACGGUGGCCCGAACCAGUAUAAAUCUCGUGUCCCUCUAUUCUUUGAGUUCGUCGAGCUAGGCCGUGAGAUCCUUGAGCGAGCUAGCCAUCGAGGGAGAGAGAGAUCUUCGUGCGCACCCCAGUGUUCGAACCUCAAGGGUUUUGCCGGAACCCGAAAUCUGACAUAAGUCAAGAACGCUUAGUGAAAUUCCUCAAGACACCCAUGGUCAAAUUCCUCAAACUUGAUACUUUUGAAAAAAAUAUGAGAACGCAUAUGACUUCUCCAAAUUCUUCGCACGUAUACUCUGUUCACAGGUACAAAAUGUCCGCUACUAAAUCACUAGGUUCUCAUCCACUUAACUCAUUUGCAGUGUUCCUCGAAGAUAAGUUGCAUACUUCCUGAGAAACAUCCAAAGUUCAAAGUCCUCGAGUGAGGAAAAUGGCAGAUGGAAAAAGACCUCAGAAGGGAGGAAAGAGGCCAGAGUCAAACACUGCAUUUGAGAUCCCUGAGGAUAUCUAUGCUGGGUACUUUACACCUGAUGAGGAAACUCAUGGCAAAAAACAAGAAUCAACGCAAAGUGUGCAUACAGAGAAUUGAGAGGAUAUGGGCUAAGGAAUGGAGGGAAUAUCACUAUUUUACUCCCAAGUACAUGAAGAAAUUCGCAGUACACCCUCCAUGUCCAAGACCUCCUUUGGCUGCUGGCCAAUGAGCUGAUCCCACCAGCAUCAGGCGUGGUGAGGAAUUUCCUAAAGAAUGGGCCAAGCGCCAAGCCAAAUUGGCUAAAACUUCAAAAGAAGCAGUGAAGAAAUUCAAUGAGGAUUCUCAAGCUGCUGCUGCUGCUACUGAGGCCUCUCCUAGUAAGCCUAAGAAGGCUAUGCCAAAGAAAUCUACUGUGAAGCCGAGUUCCUCAACAACAAUGCCCUCACGGCCAAAUUCUUCAAUGUCAAAGCCCUCAAGGCAAAAUCCUCAGGCAACUUCUUCAAGGGCAGUGCCAAUGCCCUCUGUUGCCACAAAAUCCUCAGCUGCUGCAACCAAGUCCUCAACACCUGUGCACCUUGCAACAUGUCAACGGACUGCAGGUUUUUCUAUUGCUUAUGGAGCUUCUUCAUCUUUCUCAGCUCCACCAUAGUUCCCAAUAGGUCCAACCUUGCUGAAGGUCAAAACCACUUCUGGACAUGGAUCGAGGCCAAGUCCUCAUAAGAAGCAAGUGGCGUUCCAAGUACCGUCUGAUGAUGAUGAAGCUGAUGAUGAAGAACUUCCUGAAAUCAUCAGAGACAGACAAGAAAGGGCCGCUAGAGCCAAAGGCAGUUCUGUGCCUCUCAUGCUGGAUCCAAGGAAGAUCCUGGACUUUAUUGAUCUAUGGCACAAGGACCCCAACACUCUACUGCCUGACUUGAAUCUGACCCCUGGUCAAAGUCACAUGUUGAAUUCCUUCAUCAGCGAAGAGAAAUGGAAAUUUCAAAAGGCCAGACAAGUCAAGAAGGCUUAGUACAAGAAGGAGCAUUUUGUGAAGAACAACGUUCUGAAUAUGUCUCCUGGAGAACUUGUUAAUAUGCAAAAGGAGAUCAAAGGCCUCAUUGAUGAAUUUGACACAUAUCAUGCAGAUUGGCUAGGUGCCAAAGUCUGAUUUGUCAAGCUUGCCAAGAACCUCAAACCUAACGUUGCAGCACCAUCGCAAUAAGAAAUUCCUCAGGCUGAUGCAUCUGCUUAGCAAACUGAAGAAAAUGAAAGCGCAGCUGAUGAAAAUUAGGCUGCUGAAGAAAUUCCAGCUCGUGAAGAAAUUGCCAGGGCAACCACCAAUGUUGCGCCUAAAGAACAACCCAGGCCAGCUGAAGCAUUUUGAAAGUGCUAGUUAUCGACUAGCGGGGGGUGAAUACGCGAUUUUUAUUGAAGUCUUCAAAACAGGGGGCUUUGAAGACAAACGAUAGAAAUGAACUUAUUCAUAUGUAGCGGAAGGUAGACUACGCUAGACAAGCCCUAGUCAAGUAAGUAAUGAAGUGAAAGCACGAAGACUAUAAGCAGCUAGGUAGUAUAGAUCAGGAUGGAAGAUAGUAUGAAGCCAAACAACAAUAGUCAUCACACGGUGAAGUCAAACAGAUCAAGCAAGCAGGCAAUGACUUCACGAAGACAAACUGUAAGUAAAAAGAGGGAAGAGAUAGAACCAGUUGCUCGGCGAGGACAGGGAUUUGUUGGACCAGUUCUAGUUGUUGUGACAACUGUACGACUGGUUAGGGAGGCUGAGAUUUAACUCAGAAGACCGCGUCUUCAACUUAUUGCCCUUGAGGUAAUGACACUUAGUCCUCGCCCAAUCACUCUGGUAAGUCUUCAAGGUAGACUUCCAAACCUUCACAGACUUCGUUCACCGGCAAUCCACAAUGACUCUUGGAUGCUCAGAACGCGAAGCUUAACCGGCUGGAGGAUUCACAGUCCUCAAGUGUAACAAGUCUUCAGGUCACGCGGACAGAAAGACUUCAGUGAUGCCUAACACUCUUUGGCUCUGGGUGUUUUGGGCUUUGUCCUCGCAAGGAUCUCUCUCUCAAAUGCUUUGGAGGUGGGUUGCUCUCAAACGACAAAAGCCGUGUACUAACUCUGAGCAGCCACCAAUUUAUGGUGUAGGGGGUGGGCUAUUUAUAGCCAGGAGGCAACCCGACCUGAUUUGUCCAAAAUGACCCUGGGUCACUCAGGAACUGACACGUGUCCAAUGGUCCGAUUUCAAACACACGUGGCAGCUUGACUUGGGCUACAAGUAAAGCUGACUCAUCCAGCUCUGGAUAAGAUUUGCUCUCAUUGUCUUCGCUCGAAGACAUGGGAUUUGGUUGAGCAUCACUUCAGUCACUCUGACUUUGUUCACUUGGACCCCACUUAACAGUGCGGUGGUUCCUAUGACUCAACAAAGAAGAAAAGGAAACUAUGAAACAAUUAUGUCUUUGCACUCCAUAGUGUUCAUGCGAUGUCUUCUCAUGUCAUAGUCUUCAAUGUGAAUAUCUUCACAUACCACCAUUGUCUUCAAUGUCUUCACACAUUUUUAGGGGUCAUCUCUGGUAGGUAAACCGAAUCAAUUGGGGACUACUACCUGUGUUAUCAUGCAAUUCUCACAAACACAUUAGUCCCUCAACCAAGUUUGUCGUCAAUACUCCAAAACCAACUAGGGGUGGCACUAGAUGCACUUACAAUCUCCCCCUUUUGGUGAUUGAUGACAAACUGGUUGAAGUUUUCAACGGGGAUAAAAUUAUGUGAAAGUUUAAGGAUUUAGGGCAUUGUCUUCAUGAGUAGCAAAAGGCUCCCCCUGAAGAUGUGCAUAUAAGUAGUUUUCUCUUGAAUGCAAAUGCACAUGGUAGGUUUUACUUGUGGAGAUCCUCUUCAGCUUAUGAAGACAAUUCAUCAUGCAUAUAGAGAUAAGACGAAGAUAAUGACAUGCAUAAUGAAAAAUGGAUGUCUGCGGAAUGACUUCAUGCGGAAUUUAUCAUCGCAUCACAGAAUAGCAGACAAAGUAGCAGACGACCAUCAAGUUUAAGUGUUACAACCCAAAGAACCAAAUGUAUCAAAAACGAGAGUUGUAAUCACUUGGCAAAAAUAUAUAGCAACCACCCAUAUGGACCCGCUUGAAGACUAUCAACUCAUAUGCUUCUCCCCCUUUUGUCAGUAAGGACCAAAAAGUUUGGAAGACAUAGAGCAUCUACUCGUUCCCAUCAGGAGUAGAUGAAGGUGCAGGGUCGAUGUUGGAGUCCGGUGGUGCAGAGGGGCCUGGUGUAGUGUCGUGACGCGGCGAAGUCAUGGUUGGUGAAGUGGCAUCGUCUUCUUCAUCGCCGACUCUCGCAACAACAGUUGCAGCCGAAGAUGAAUACUCCGAGUCUUCUAAGGAAGGAGUAAGAUGCAAGACGGCAUUUCGGGGAGGCGUGGAAUCAAAUUUGUAGCGCUCUGUGAAGCCAUCUUCACGAAGAUCGUCUUCAGAGCUUAGCAAAGUCAGACUCUUCCAAGACCUCCGACGGGCUUCAUGUGAUACGAAUGCGUUGGUGGCAAGAUUGCGAAUGCGAUUAACAUCCACCAAGAGGCUCUGCAUCUGACGCUUUAGCCAGUCAUGGUGCCUAUCCUGUUUCUGAUGUAAGGCCACAAGAAGCUCUCGGUCAUUGAGUACAUGAGAUUGCUUUCGAGGCCUUUGAGCAAUGGUGCUUUCAGUGGCUUCAGUGUUUGCACGAUGAGGUGCAUGUAUAUUUCCAGCCAUAGGGUAAGCAGGAGUGGAAGCAUUUGGAACAUGAACCCCUUCAAUUGCUUGCGUGAAGCUCUGAUGAUCAACGUUAUGAAGAUAAAAUGGUUCCUUGGCAGGCUCAGGGUAGAUGGCUUCGACAGACAUAUCAACCUCAGGCAAGAAGAUAAGAUGGUUGCGCGCUGAGGGCUGAUAGUUGACAGAAGAGUGAAGCUUGAUUAAGCGCAUCACCCAUGGAGCACAAAACUUCAAGCCAAAUAGAUCAACUCCAGAUGCUGCAAGUUGCCUGAUGAAGAAAUCUUGAGCAUUGAAGCUGAUGCCAUUGAGAAUAUAGAACACCAAUGUCUUCAUCGUGCCUUCAAGCUUGGCUGCAGGAGAAUGUCCUUUGACGGGCCAUAGAGUUCGCCUUACAAUGUGAUAAAUGGUACGGGGCAGAUACUCAAGGUCUUCGACAAAGAAUUCCUUAGGAUAUUCAGCAUCUUGUGGCAGUGGCUUCAUCAUGCUGAGCAUCUGACUCAUGUUGGGCUCAGGCUUUUGAAAUAGGCUCUCCAAUGCAUUCCUGUGUAGCUGACAACCAGGUUCAUACAGCUCACCUGGAGUGGGCAGGGAAGUAAGCUCAAUGAUAUCUUGAGCUUUGGCUUCAUGGUGCACAUCACCUGUCAUCCACUCAAGGAUCCAAGUCUUCGGAUCACUGUUGUAGCCACGAAUGUGAAGAGUGGCAUAGAAUUGUAGCAGAAGCUCCUCAUUCCAAUGCUCUUUGUCAGUUAUGAACCGCAGAAGGCCAGCAUCUCUGAAACAGUCUAGAGCUUCUUCCAAGCAGGGCAGACCAGCAAUGGCUUCACAAUCCAAACGCAUGUGAGGAAAGAUUUGCCCUUGAUUGUAUAAGAUACAUGAGUAAUAACUGCGCUGUUGAUAGCUCCAGAAGCGAUCAGAUGAAAUCUUUGGCUUCGAGUACGGGUUCUUGGCACUAUCAAAGAAUGUGUUGUGUGCCCUGAAGCUGUUUACAUUGAACGAUCCUGGCGAUGUUGCAGCACUGGGAAAUCUUGGCAGUCUGGGCUUUGGCUUCUGGACCUGAGGCCUUUGCUCCACAUGGUAUUCAAAUUGUGGUCCGGGAGCAGUGGGAGGAACCAGAACAGGCCAUCGGACAGUGACAAGUUGGCCGCGAUCAUAUGCCUUCUCAAUAGUGUGAGGCCUUGGGGGUGGAACAGCAGCUUCGGCAUUGACUGUGGCUUCAGGUUGCACGCUAGCUUCAGGCACAACAUUAGCUUCAAGCACCACAUUGUCUUCAGCUAUGACAGCGUCAUUGGGUUCAGUAGUGUUGUUUGUGGCCGCCUCAAUGUUUUCAACCUCCGUUUCAGUAGCAGGAGGGUCGGACAUAGACAUGUUCUCUCGAGAACAACUUCUUGAGUAACAGGGGGUGUGGCAACUCUUUCUUCUUCUUCUCUUGGUUCUUGAUUGUCAUCGGCUGAUGCAGCCGGAAUGUCUUCAGCAGCUUUGGCUGCGGACUCAGAGACAUUUAUGGUAGGGGUGGCGUCAGGAAACACUUGACGUGCCACUGAGUUUUGAGGUGCUUCCCUUUUCAGAAUGCUCGACAUGGAGACCUAUGGCCUAGGUCCUUUACGAAGCCUGCGGAAAGCUAGCGACACCUGUGGUGAGGGAGUGGUCUACACCAUGUAAUUGUCAUCGUCAAGCACCGGAGUGGUGACUUGAGGUGGUGGAGUACUGGGUGUGUCAUCUUAACUUGGUGUGUCUUGUUGAGGGUGAUGAGCCCACGAUGCAUCCUGAGCAAUUGGCGUCAAGGGACGACCAAUGCUGAUGAGUUCGCUGUUCGUAAGAACAGGCGAUGAUACCAGUUGGAGCUCGAUCUGAGGAAGGACUUCAUCAUCUUCUACAUUGUCGCCAUGACCAAUGUCUUCAGCUGUGAUGGGGUCGACAGCUGGAAUUUCUUCAUCUUCAGGAGCCUCUGUGGAAGCAGGCUUGUGAACUACAAGUUGACGCUCUUGGUUGGUGGAGGCAGGACGAGCAACUGAGAUGGGCUGGACAACAAGUGGCUCUGUGGCAGCAGCACGCUCUUUCCGUGAAGACUUUGUCUUCGGCUUCUUUGUUGAUGGAGCACCAUUAGAGGCAUUCUUGUGCUUACGCUUCUUGGCUUCGGCCUCAGCUGCCCUUGUCUUCUUCAAUUCUGAAGCUACUGAGGGCACCUUAGGCUUCGAGCCUGUCAUGCUGGCAGGGAAGACAAUGCAAGGUGCUUCCUGCCUUGAUGCUUCAGCUUGGGCCACAACAGACUUCUUCUUUUGUUUGGCAGCCAUCUUGGGGUCAAUGCCUAGACGCCCAAGAUCCUUGCGCUUCUCUGCCUCAUUGUGUGCUUGAACACAUUUUUCUGCGAAGUAUUUCAUCCGCUCUCUUGAACCUUUUGCUUCUUCACGCUUCUUGUGAAACAGCUCCUUGAGCUCAUGCAGCAUUGUCUUGAAGCUUUGAACAUCAGCCACGUUGAGCUUGGCCAUGUUCUUCUUGAAUUGAGCCUUUUCAUAAUCAAUUUUGUUCUUCAGCUCGACGAUCUUCUGAGCCAGAGCCAGCUCAUUAACAAUGGCUCCAUGGAAGGUGACGCUUAUGUCCACCGGGAGCUGAAGAUCAUCAAUGCUGAGGCUUGGGUUGUCAAACCACUCAUCGAUGAAGUUGUUCAGAAUAUCCACAUCAAAGAGGGGCAGAUCGUUGAAGAUCUCUGCCUCUUGCUUGCUCUUGAUCAGCAGCUCAAGGGCGUCAUCACCAAGAUCUUCAUCGCUGGACAGAUCAAUGGUGGCAUCCUCAUUGCGUAGAACUGCAGCAGGGGUCAGUUCUUGAGCAGAACUCUUGAUGGGCUUCUUCUUCUUCUUCUUCUUCUUCUUGGAUUUCUCUGUCUUCUUGGAGAUACGAGAAAGAUCUUCAGAUUGCACACUGGCUUCAGGAGGUGCAGAGGCCAAUGGCUUCACACACGAAGCUCUUGGUGCGGCAGAGGGCUUUGAAGCCUUUGUUUUCUUUUGCUUCUGUGGCUUAGGUGGAGCUGGCACUUCAUCAGAAUCUGCGUCAUCCGCUGAGUGAUCCACAAUGGCCCCCUGUACUGCUAUGUGAGUGAUGAGGCCCUCGAGGUUGUAGAAGGGGCCGACGAUGUUUGGAUUUGCAUCACGGGUGCCAUCGGCCCUUGGAGCAGACGGACCAGGGUUGAAGUCGAGUCCAAAUGCUUUCUUAUCCUUCACAGCAAAAUCUUUUGCAAACUUAUAGUUACGCUUGAACAGAUUGUCGUCGCGACACCAUAACAGAGAAGAUGGGUCGGCAUUCUCUGGUUGUGGUCCUCGGACCACGCAAGGAUAGAAGCCUUGAGCAAUGGCUUCGGACUUGGACUUGGGCUGAAGAUUUUUGUAUAGAAUAUCUCCCCAUGGUUGCUUGAUGGCGUUCUUUUCAGCAUAUUCAGCAGUCACAUAUCUGUAUAGGAACCAUUGUUCCGCCCAAUAUCUUGGAAUCCACUGGAUUCAAGUCUUGCGCUGACCAUAGUUCUCUUCAGGAUCUGUCUUGUAUAGUUCAUACAGAUCAGGAGGUAAAUCCUUGGAUGUAUCUCCACGGUGCUGCCUGCCCCCUUUCCUUGCAGAUUUUUCAGUUGCCAUAAUAUUCAGACUGAAAGGCUUCAAUAUAGUGAAUGGCUUCCUUUUCCUGGUCAGACAGGAACUGGCUUCAGGAGAAUUGAUGUGUCGCUAUAAGAAUUCUGCAAAUGAAUGCAGACUAUGAGAACCAAGGGAUUCUCCCACGGACAUGUACCUGUGACAGCAUUAGAGGUGCGAGGGAAGGGGAAGAGGUCAUAUGCGUUCUCAGAAGAUUUUGAAGAUAAAUCAGUUUGAAGAGAUUGACCUCAUAGCGCGAAGACAUUCACUUAUUUGGUGAGAGUCGGUUCCAGAUUUGUACGAAUCCAAGAAUAAGUACAAGUAAGGAAUCUAACUAGUUGUGAAGCAUAAGUGAAUAUACUUUGCAAGAUAUGAGAUGCAGAAGAAGAUAGAUCCAGUUUUGGAAGUUGAGAAACCACUGUCGGUUGAAGUGGAUGGAUCUGAUGAAUCAAAAAGGCAGUAAAAAGUAGGUUUUAAUUACCGCACGAUGAACUGCUAGACGAAGUUGAGAGGGAGGCCAAGUAGUUCAAUCUCCCGCGCCCUAACUUGGCGGAGGAAGACACCUACAACGGCGGCAGAGAGGACGAGGUCCGCGGCCGGCGUGAGGACGGCGUCGAAGAAGUCGCGGCAGCUAAGCGCUUCGUCUCUGGCAUCGACGCGAGCUAGCGGAGGCGCUAGGGUUUGUGCGAGGUGGCGAGGUGGAUGAAGAGAUUAUGACCGCGGUGAGUUGUGUAUAUAUAAGGAAAGGGACAGCACAGCGUAAUUACGCAGGUGCCCCUGGCGGUUCACAUCUGAAGGACAUGUGGCAUGCAUGCAACACAUUGGAAGUUGUUCCAUGUUCCCACGCACCCCUGGACAGUCGGGUGGUCGUUCCGGCUUCUCCGGGUUUCAGGCAAUAAGGAUAUAGCAUUAAAACAGAUUCAACUUUUGUCUCUGUAUCUUCUGCUGACAAGGACGCAGAGAAGACAUUCGAUAGUUUCAAUAGAAUGUAUAUGAUUUAGAUAGAUAGAAUCUGAGGUAGAAGCAUAGAAAAGGGGUUAGGGUCCGAUCACAUUCACUUAGAUCAAAAUAUUCAAACAUGAAGAUAUAGCCAUAAGUGAAUGCUGUAGAGGACAGAACACAAAUAUAUGUAUAUAUCAGAAUAAGACCAAAUCAACAUUGUGAAGAUAAACAGGAAGUCAAAUCAAUGUUGAAGACAAACCAAAUGCGAAGACUUUGCAAAUGUGACGCCAAACGAAACACUUCAAACAAAAGUUUGGUGGUGGCGUUACCCACCAUAUAGGAAGUAUUAGACCCAAACACGGCGCACAAUUAUCGUGGCGCUCCGAAGUCAAAUUUGACAUUAAUGUAUUCACACUUAGAGUGUAUGUCUUCAUUGAUUGAAGAUAUACUUUACUUCGUGUGUUGCACAUCUAAGUCAUCAACAUGCAUAAGCGUUAGGAUGUGUGUCCAAUCACAGGACAUUCGAGGAUUCUAAGAUAUUUACCUCACACCGCAACUUGCAAAAACUUUUCUCAUCCAAGGGCUUUGUGAAGAUAUCUGCCAAUUGCUCUUCAGUGUUGACGUGAAUGAUAUCAAUAUCUUCCUUCAUGACAUGAUCUCUGAGAAAGUGAUGACUAAUUUCAAUGUGCUUUGUCUUCGAGUGCUGAACUGGGUUGUUGGCAAUCUUGAUGGCGCUUUCAUUGUCGCAGUAGAGUGGCACUUGCUUCAGAUGGAUGCCGUAGUCCUUAAGAGUUUGCUUCAUCCAUAGAAGCUGAGCGUAGCAAGAUCCAGCAGCAAUGUAUUCGGAUUCAGCAGUGGAGAGAGACACACAGUUCUGCUUCUUUGAAGACCAACGAACAAGAGAUCGUCCAAGAAAGUGACAUGUGCCUGAUGUGGACUUGCGAUCAACCUUGUCACCAGCAUAAUCAGCAUCUGAGAAUCCAACUAGAUCAAACUCUGAGCCCUUUGGAUACCAUAAUCCUAGUGUUGGGGUGUAAGCCAAAUAUCGAAGAAUUCGCUUCACAGCUAAGUGAUGCGAUUCCUUUGGUGCCUCUUAGAAUCAGGCACACAUGCAAACGCUAAGCAUGAUAUCUGGCCUAGAUGCACAUAAAUAGAGUAAAGAACCAAUCAUGGAGCGAUAUACCUUCUGAUCAAACUCUUUACCAUUGUCGACGGGGCCCAGAUGACUUUUGGUUGGCAUUAGCGUUGAGUAACCUUUGCAGUCUUGCAUUCCAAACUUCUUCAGGCAAUCUUUGAGGUACUUCUCUUGGGAUAUGAAGAUGUCGUUGCUCUACUGACGAAGACCAAGGAAGAACUUCAGCUCACCCAUCAUGGACAUCUGAUAUUGCUCUUGCAUCAUGUGCCCAAACUCAUCACUGUAUCUUUUGUGAGUGCAGCCGAAGAUAAUGUCAUCCACAUAGAUCUGGCACACAAACAGUUCACCAUUGUAUGUCUUCGUGAAGAGAGUGGGAUCCAGGGAACCAGGUUUGAAGCCUUUGCUCUUCAGGAAGUCUUUGAGUGUGUCAUACCAAGCACGAGGGGCUUGUUUGAGGCCAUACAGUGCCUUGUUGAGCUUGUAUACCAUAUCAGGAUGUUUUGGAUCUUCAAAGCCAGGUGGUUGUGCAACAUACACUUUUCUUCAAUCUUGCCGUUGAGAAAGGCACUCUUCACAUCCGUUUGAUACAGAAGGAUGUUGUGAUGGUUGCCAUAGGCUAGUAGUAUGCGAAUGGCUUCAAGCCUAGCCACGAGAGAAAAUGUUUCAUCGAAGUCAAUCCCUUCAACUUGAGUGUAUCCUUGAGCAACGAGACGAGCCUUGUUUCUGACAACUUGACCAUGCUCAUCUUGUCUGUUGCGAUAGAUCCAUUUGGUGCCAAUGAUAUUGUGCUUGCGAGGGUCAGGACGCUUGACUAAUUCCCACACAUUGUUCAGCUCGAAUUGUUGAAUCUCUUCUUGCAUAGCUUGAAUCCAUUCAGGUUCCAUGAAGGCUUCAACAACUUUCUUGGGUUUAGAUAUAGAGACAAAUGCAAAGUGCCCACAGAAAUUUGCUAGCUGAGUUGCUCCUGAACGAGUGAGUGGACCAGGUGCAUUGAUGCUAUCAAUUAUCUUCUCAAUCUGUACUUCAUUUGCAACACGGGGAUGAACUGGACGAAGAUUUUGCCCUUGCUGACCAUUGUCUUUGUUAUCAGCAUUGGCUUCAGGCUGAGCAGUGUCUUCAGGUUGGUUUGGCGCAGAAAUGAUAAGUUCUUCUUCAGCCUGUGCCUCUGAAGGUAUGAUUUCUCCAGUUCCCAUAAGCUUGAUGGAUUCACUAGGUGGGACUUCAUCUAGCACAUUUGGCAGGUGCUCUCUUUGCGAGCCGUUAGUCUCAUCGAACCGCACAUCCACAGUUUCAACCACUUUAUAGUGAAAGAGGUUGAAGACUCUGUAGGAGUGCGAAUCCUUUCCGUAACCAAGCAUAAAACCUUCAUGUGCUUUCGGUGCAAAUUUUGAAGUGUGAUGUGGAUCCUUGAUCCAGCACCUAGCACCAAAUACUCUGAAGUAACUGACGUUUGGCUUCUUACCAGUUAGGAGCUCAUAGAAUGUAUUAUUUAGAAGCUUGUGAAGAUAAACACGGUUGAUGACGUGGCAUGCUGUAUCAAUGGCUUCAGGCCAGUACUUCCUUGGAGUCUUUUACUCAUCAAGCAUCAUCCGAGCCAUCUCAAUGAGUGUCCUAUUCUUCCGCUCCAUGAUGCCAUUCUACUGAUGGUGUGUAUGGAGCUAAGAACUCAUGAAUGAUGCCCAAUGUAUCAAGGUAAGUGUCGAGGCCUGUGUUCUUGAACUCUGUGCCCUUGUCACUUAUUAUGUGCUUGAUCUUGAUGCCAUAGUUCGUCAUGGCACGAUUGGCGAAUCGUCUGAAGACAUCCUGCACUUCAUUCUUGUAGAGAAUUAUAUGCACCCAUGUAUAUCUUGAAUAAUCAUCAACAAUGACAAAGCCAUAGAGACAAGCAGUGGUAUUAAGAGUAGAGUAGUGAGUAGGGCCAAAUAAGUCCAUGUGAAGAAGCUCGAAGGGUUGAGAUGUAGUCAUGAUUGUCUUCGAGGGAUGCUUGGCCCUUGUCAUCUUUCCAGCUUCGCAGGCACCACACAGAUGAUCCUUCUUGAACUUGACGCCCUCGAUGCCUACGACAUGUUUCUUCUUCGCGAGAGUGUACAAGUUCCUCAUGCCAGCAUGCCCUAGCCUCCGAUGCCAGAGCCAGCACUCUGAAGCUUUUGCUAGAAGGGAUACGGCCAACUGUGGUCCUGCUGAGAAAUCUACCAUAUACAGAUCAUCUUUCCGAUACCCUUCAAAGACUAGAGACUUGUCAGAUUCCAUUAGAACAAGGCAACGAUAUUUUCCAAAUAUCACAAUCAUGUUCAAAUCACAAAGCAUUGAGACAGACAUUAAGUUGAAACCAAGGGAUUCAACAAGCAUCACUUUAUCCAUGUGCUGAUCCUUUGAUAUUGCAACUCUACCUAGACCCAAUACCUUGCUUUUACCAGUGUCAGCAAAUGUGAUGUGACUCUUGUCAGAUGGACAUAAGGUUGAGUCCAUGAGAAGACUUCAAUCACCAGUCAUGUGAUUAGUGCAUCCACUAUCCAUAAUCCAUUCUGAAGCAUGUGGUGUCAUACCCUACAGUGCAGCUAGGGGGAUAGGCUUCACCAAGGGUAUUGUGAAGCAUAAACAUUUGACGAACAAGCGGAUUAUCAAAGCUCAGAUCCAGGUUAGGACUGAUAGGAUGAUUGGCAAGUGAUUCAGGAACAAAAUACAUAGUAAGACCAUUUGGGCAUUUUAUCUUGCGCCCCAUAAGAUAUUUUAGGUCCCCAGCAAUAGCAUCAGACGCCUUUGAUUUCCGGCUGGAGACCUUUCCCUGCAAAAGAGGGUUAAGUUUUCUUAACCACCCACAUUUUCAGGGGUGGCUUUGAAGCAAUGAGUCUAAGUGCAGCAUCUGAGAACUUCGGCUUUGGAGCCCUAGCAAAUAGCCUUGCAGGAGGUGAAUAAUACUCAUAAGAAUAAGCAGAAUAGUUCUUAGUCUUACGAAGAAACACGCUCAUAUUCACAAGUCUGGGUAUGAUUUCCCUGCAAAACAUUGGCGUUAGGGUGACUCUGAUGAGUCCUCUGUCUGUAUGAAGCCUUUGGACCGUAUGAAGCCUUUGGUCUGGGUUUGUCUUCUUCCCAGGUGGUGUCAUGAUGACAUUCACCCGAAGAUUCUCAAGACAACUCUUGGGCACCCAGAUCCUCUUCAAAGGUGGUCCAUUCCUGCAGUUAGUACCAAUAUACCUGGCAAACACUUCACCAUUCUGAUUCUUAAACAGUUUAUAGUUUGCAUUAAAGGAUUCAUCAAUGAUAAUCGGGUUAGCACAAGUGAAGCCAGAUAAGGUGGAUGGAUCCACUGAAGGUCCCUUUGCAGCAACCCAUGUGGUUGUGGGGUAAUGCUCAGGCUUCCAGUAAGAACCAUCAACAUUCAUUUUCCUCUCGAACCCAACACCCUCUUUCCUAGGGUUUUGGUUCAGAAUCUGCUUUUUGAGGACAUCGCAUAGUGUCUGAUGCCCUUUGAGACUUUUGUACAUUCCUGUCUCAACCAAUGUCUUCAAUCUGGCAUUCUCAUCAGCAAUAGUAGUGGUAUCCUCAGCAGAGGGGUUAGUUACCACAUCAGCAGUUGAAGAUAUUGCAACAGUAGCAACAGUAGAACAUUCAGCAACAGAGGUAGCAUUGUCACGCUCAAGGCAUUUUAGACAUGGUUGUUCAAAUCCUUCCUGGGACUGAUCUGUUGAGCGUGAAGUGACUCGUUUUCUUUUUGAAGAUCUUCAUGAGCCGCUCUCAAUUUCUCAAUGUCUUGCUUCCUUUGAAGAUAAUCGUAGGAAAGCUUUUCAUGAGUUGUUGAGAGCGUUUCAUGACGACUUUCAAGUUCCUCAUACUUAACAUGAAGAUUUUUGAUAUCUUCAAUUAAGGACUGAGAUCGGGUCAUUUCCGCGUCCAACAGGUCAUCGCUUUUGUCUAGCAAUUUUUGAAUAUGGUCCAUAGCUUUGUGUUGUUCAUUUGCAAUUUUAGCAAGUGUUUUGUAGCUAGGUUUGGAUUCACAAUCAGAGUCAUCUUCACUUGAUGUUUGAAAGUAGGCAUCACGUGAGUUUACCUUGGCACCGCGUGCCAUGAAGCAGUAGGUGGUAGCAGAGUCGUCCUUGUCAUUUGCAUCAGCGUUGGUGACGGUGCCAUUGUCUUCAGUGUUGAAGAUGGACUUGGCAACAUAGGCUGUUGCUAGAGCCAGACUUGCAAUGCCAGAGUUGGACUCCUCCUCAGACUCCACCUCUGCCUCCUCAGAAGUAGACUCCUCCUCUGAAUCCAUCUCCUUGCCAGAUGAGCUCUUCUUGUAUGAUGAAGACUUGGACGAAGACUUGGAAGAAGACUUUGAGGAUUUCUUCUUCUUCUUGUCAUCAGAAUCAUAUUCCUUUCUCUUCUUCUUCUUCUUCUUGUUCUCGUUGUCCCACUGUGGACACUCAGAGAUGUAGUGACCAGGUUUCUUGCACUUGUGGCAUGUUUUCUUCUUGUGGUCAUGAGUAGAAGCUUCAUCAUUUCUCGAGCUGGAUCUUGAAGACUUUCUGAAGCCUUUCUUCUUGGUGAAUUUCUGAAACUUCUUCACAAGCAUAGCAAGCUCCUUUCCAAUGUCUUCAGGAUCCCCAAAACUGCAGUCAGAUUCUUCUUCAGAUGAGGAAACAGCCUUUGCCUUCAAAGCGCGAGUACGGCCAUAACUGGGACCAUAGAUAUCUCUUUUCUCAGAUAACUGGAACUCAUGUGUGUUGAGCCUCUCAAGUAUGUCAGACGGAUCGAGAGUCUUGUAGUUAGGACAUUCUUGAAUCAUCAGGGCCAGGGUGUCAAGUGAUCUCAGGAGUGUCUUGACGAUUUCAUGCUUGGUGAUCUCAGUAGCGCCAAGUGCAUGAAGCUCAUUUGUGAUAUCGGUGAGGUGAUCAAAUGUGAGCUGGACAUUCUCAUUGUCAUUUCUCUUGAAGCGAUUGAAGAGGUUGCGAAGAACACUGAUCCUUGAGUCUCUCUGGGUUGAGACGCCUUCAUUGACCUUGGAGAGCCAGUCCCAGACUAGCUUCGCAGUUUCCAGAGCACUCACACGACCAUACUUUCAUUUGGUCAGAUGACCACAGAUGAUGUUCUUGGCAGUGGAAUCCAGUUGAAUGAACCUCUUGACAUCAGCAGGGGUGACACCUUCACCGGCCUUGGGAACGCGAGGUCGACAUCAAUGGCUUCAAGAUGCAUGCGCAUCUUAUUCUUCCAGUAGGGGUAAUCAGUGCCAUCGAAGACAGGGCACGCAGCAGAGACUUUGAUUAUCCCUACAGCCGACAUAGCUAAAACUCCAGGUGGUUAAACCGAAUCACACAGAACAAGGGAGCGCCUUGCUCUGAUACCAAUUGAAAGUGCUAGUUAUCGACUAGAGGGGGGUGAAUAGGUGAUUUUUAUAGAAGUCUUCAAAACACGGGGGCUUUGAAGACAAAUGAUAGAAAUGAACCUAUUGAUAUGCAGCGGAAGGUAGACUACACUAGACAAGCCAUAGUCAAGUAAGUAAUGAAGUGAAAGCACGAAGACUAUUAGCAACUAGGUAGUAUAGAUCAGGAUGGAAGAUAGUAUGAAUCCAAAAAACAAUAGUCGUCACACAGUGAAGUCAAACAGAUCAAGCAAGCAGGCAAUGACUUCACGAAGACAAACUGUAAGUAAAAAGAGGGAAGAGAUAGAACCAGUUGCUCAGCGAGGACAGGGAUUUGUUGGACCAGUUCCAGUUGCUGUGACAACUAUACGUCUGGUUAGGGAGGCUGAGAUUUAACUCAGAAGACCGCAUCUUCACCUUAUUCCCCUUGAGCUAAGGACACUUAGUCCUCGCCCAAUCACUCUGGUAAGUCUUCAAGGUAGACUUCCGAACCUUCACAGACUUCAUUCACUAGCAAUCCACAAUGACUCUUGGAUGCUCAAAACGCGACGCCUAACCGGCUGGAGGAUUCACAGUCCUCAAGUGUAACAAGUCUUCAUGUCACGCGGACAGAAAGACUUCAGUGAUGCCUAACACUCUUUGGCUCUGGGUGUUUUGGGCUUUGUCCUCGCAAGGAUCUCUCUCUCAAAUGCUUCGGAGGUGGGUUGCUCUCAAACGACAAAAGCCGUGUACUAACUCUGAGCAGCCACCAAUUUAUGGUGUAGGGUGUGGGCUAUUUAUAGCCAGGAGGCAACCCGGCCUGAUUUGUCCAAAAUGACCCUGGGUCACUAAGGAACUGACAUGUGUCCAACGGUCAGAUUUCAAACACACGCGGCAGCUUGACUUGGGCUACAAGUAAAGCUGACUCAUCCAGCUCUAGAUAAGAUUUGCUCUCAUUGUCUUCGCUCGAAGACAUAGGAUUUGGUUGAGCAUCACUUUAGUCACUCGGACUUUGUUCACUUGGACCCCACUUAACAGUGCGGUGGUUCCUAUGACUCAACAAAGAAGAAAAGGAAACUACGAAACAACUAUGUCUUCGCACUCCAUAGUCUUCAUGCGAUGUCUUCUCGUGUCAUAGUCUUCAAUGUGAAUAUCUUCACAUACCACCAUUGUCUUCAAUGUCUUCACACACUUUUAGGGGUCAUCUCUGGUAGGUAAACCGAAUCAAUGAGGGACUACUACCUGUGUUAUCCUGCAAUUCUCACAAACACAUUAGUCUCUCAACCAAGUUUGUCGUCAAUACUCCAAAACCAACUAGGGGUGGCACUAGAUGCACUUACACAUUUGUUACGCCUGAAGAAAUUGAGCAUACCAGGGCGACUACAUCAGCCGUGCCUAAAUAAACUGAACCAACUUCAUCUGCUCCUCCCGUCAAAUCAUCAAAGAUGAAUAAUAUCACUCUUCCUUCUGCAUCAGAAGUGAAGAAAACCCAGGCUGUGAAGAAGGCAUCUGUGAAUAAGAGGAAAGCAUCAACCUCAACAGAGUCUUCAGCUCCCAAGAAAGUGAGGACUUUGACAAGUUCCUUCACUAACCCAAUUAAUGUUGUUCCGGUCUUGAUUGUACCAUCAAAGGAGCUCAUUCCUUUUGGCGAGGAAUAUGUCAUUCCAGAUGAUGAUUUUGAAGAGAAUCCUUCUGCUGCUUCUUCAGAGCAGUUGGAUGAAGAAAUUGGAGUGGAAGAUAUCCCUUCCACCUCACUGGUAUCAUCUCCUAUGCCUCAGUUCACAGCUGAAGAGGCAGACGUUGAGGAAAUUGAAGAAGACAUGGGCAUUAGCUCAACUACGCCUCUGCUGAAUGAUGAUUAUUGGGAAAAUCUUCACCCCAAAUCACCAUUGGCCACGCCUUUGCAUCCAAUUCCUCAGUCCCCUGUGCACACUAAAGAAAUUCAAAUGGGAUCUGAAGGACGUCAAACUUCUCUUCUUUCCAUUCCUGAAGAAAUUCCAGCUGCAAUAGCUGAAGAAUUUGAGAAUCAAACCGCUGCUGAAGAACCUAAAGCUUCAGUUCCCCAGACACGGCUCCAGAGAUUAUGACACAAGAGGUUGUGAGACCCUCAACUGCUAAUAUUCAGCCCAAGCAACAAAAUCCUCAUGCAAAAAGGCCGAAAUUCAAGGCUGACGAUUUCUUUGCUGAGCAUCAUUUCUUCACUGAUUUCAAUCCAUAUGACUCAGCAAGACUUCAACGCAAGCGGUUCUGGACUGCAAGCCAAAUGAACUUCUAUUCAUCACUUCUAUUUGAUAAGGACAAGGUAUUUGAGCACCGUCAAAUUCCUGAUGUGGAUAUGGAGUCCAUCCCAUGCUUCCAACCUGUCUUGAAUGUUCUUCACGAAGCUGGGCUCAUGAAUUUCUAUGCUGAUAUCUGUGACUAGAAUGAAGAGCUAAUUCUUCAAUUCUAUGCUACUCUGCACCUCACUAGAAAUGUGACUGAUGUGAAUUCAUGGGUGCUUGAUUGGAUGACUGAGAACACUCACUACAAAGACCUGGCCUCUGAAUUACUUCAUGUUGUACUAGUCAGUCCUCCUGUUGAAGGCGCAAGGCUUAUGUAUGAAGAACCUAAACUUUCUCAUCAUCUGAUGCAAGUGCUAAUGAAGCCUUUGCAGCCAGGCCAAGCUCCAAGGACCACCUUCCUAGUGAAGGAUUUGCUUUAUGUGCCAAGGACAAUCUACCGCAUGCUGACCAAAACCCUCAGUCCGAUCAAAGGCCACAACUCUAAGAAGAGGAAGUUCUUGGCAUCAUGAAGAAUCUGUUGUUCAACAUUAUACAUGGCAUUCCCAUUAACUACCAUGAUUUCUUCAUGAGGACUUUGGCGAAUGUUGCACUGUCACCGUUUGAGUUGAAGCCUUAUGCUCCAUGGAUUAUGAAAUUCAUCAGAACCAGGUCUUCAAUUCACUACAAGGAAGAUUGUCAGAAUCACCUCAGUUUCUUGCCUCCCAUUGAAGUCCUCAAACAGACUAUUUCUUCAGUUGAUGAAAAAGGCAAAGCUGCUGUUAUUGAUGAAGGCACUCGUCCAUUGGAUGGUCAGUUUCGCAAAGCUGCAUCUUACUCCACCAAUGAUGACUCUGUAACUCAAGACUCUGCCACUAAAGCCGCAAAGCCAAAUCCUCAAGCCACUGCUCCACGAGUGAUGACUGAUCAUGAGCUUCUUCUAAGUCCUCAUCAGAAGGUCGAUCACAAUCACAAGUGGGUCAAGCGUCAACUUGGCUCGAUUCUUCAGAAUAUGACCUUCAUGCAAAACACUGUGAAGAAGAAUCACUACUAUGCACAUGAAAUCUUCGAUCGCACUUGGGCCAUAUUGUCUCACCUUUACGGUGAUGAAGAUCUCAAGCAGAUGGGAUUUCAACAGGACUUUGACUGGUCUCGGCCUCCCUCGAAGAAAUUCAAGAAGGUCAAAGUUCCUCAGCUCGUGACAAGUUCAUAUUCUUCAUCACGCGAGACAGAUGAAGCUAAAGAUCUCAAUGACACUGCGGCAGGCCCUACUUCAACGGACGACCCCAACAACGCUGGCGCUCCUCCAUCGACAUCAUGAUGAUAUUCUUCAGGGGUGUUAGUCCUCAUUUUUCGUCCCUUUUGGUCAUACGAUGACAAAGGGGGAGAAAUUUGAGUUAGUCUUCAAGCGGGUCUUAUAUAUGGGCCGUUUUUUUGUUAAGUUACAACUCUCGCUCUUCUGAAGUGUUUGUUGAUCGAGUUGUAAACUUAAGUAUGAUGGUGGUCUGAUACUUUUGAACUGCUUUCUGCAUGCUUAUUUCCUCAAGUACCUUAAUGCACGCAUGUUGAAUUACGUCAGGCACCAUAUUUCAUCAUGCAUUUCAAAUUCUUCAUAUCAUAUGGUAAAUGCGUGUAUGAAUUACAAGAUAUAGGAGGAGAUCUCCAUGAUAUUAUUCUCCAAUGUGCAUUUGCAAUCCAAAGUAAAUCUCCUCAAAUAUGCACAUCUUCAGGGGGAGUUCUUCUAUAUCUUGCAAUCAAAUUCCUCAAUAUUAGUAUCUACACUUCAUAUGUUUAUCCCCGUUGAAAACUUAACCUAUUUGUCAUCAAUCACCAAAAAGGGGGAGAUUGUAAGUUCAUCUAGUGCCCCUUAGUGAUUUUGGUGUAUUGAAGACUUAUAGGUUAAGGGACUAAUGUGUUUGUGACUGUACACAGGGUCUAUAAGUCAAUGAGGAGUUUGAUAUUUAUGAUGAAAGUCGACCCCUAAAAAUGAAUGUCUUUAGUUGAAGACUUUGGUUUUCUUGUAGACUUUGAAAAUGAGGAAAUUGAUGUGACCUUGAAGACUUUGAUAUUGAUGCAAGGAUUAUGAAGCUUGAAGACUUUUGUUUUUGUAGUUUCAUUUUCUCUUUCUUGAUUCAUAGGAAAUACCGUACUGUUAAAGGGGGUCGAGGUAAAACUAAGGAAAAGUUUUCAGGUGAUGCUCAUCUCAAAUCCUACACCUACCCAAUCCUUCGAGUGAAGCCUUUGGAAAUCUCAUACAGUUCAGUCAAUUUCUUCAGUGACAGAGACGAAGAUCUUCUGGUCUCUGAGGAAUUUGUUUUGACUGGGGAGUUAGGAAUUCGCCAGUGCGGAUUGCCUACAAGUGAGGAACAUGACAGCCCUGAGGAAUUUGAGAGUUCAAAUUUCCGACCGUUGCUGUGCUACGCGCCAGCUGUCCCAAAUAUCUUAUCCACCUAACGGUCAUAUCAUUGAAGGGCAUUUAUGUCUUAUCAUGUCGGGCUGCUCCCUGGCUAUAAAUAGCCACCCCCCUCAACCACUAGCUGGUUGGCUGCUCCGAGAGAAACUGACACUUGUCAUUGAGAGCAUCCGAUCCUCCGAGGACUUUGAGAGUAAAUCAUCAGUGAGGAAAAACCCAAACCCAACACCUACAACCCAAAGUGAUUGAGCAUCACUGAAGAGAUUAUUCCUGUGUGGAACCGAUGCUUGUUAUCUUUGAAGACUGUGCAUCUUCCAGACGGUUAGGCGUCAUGGUCUAGAGCAUUCAAGAGGAAUUGUGGAUCGUCGGGUGACCAAGUCUGUGAAGGUGUGGAAGUCACCUGUGAAGACUUACCACGAGUGAUUGGACGAGGACUGUGUGACCUUGGCUCAAGGAGAAUACGGUGAGGAUUGUGUGUCGGGACUGUGUGUCUUUUGGUUUAAAUACCUAGCCUCUGUAACCAGACGUACAACUGUCACAACAGUUGGAACUGGUCUACCAAAUCAUUGUCUUCACCGAGCUACUCGUUCUAUUUUCUCAACCCUUUCAUUUCCUCAUUCAUGUGUUAAUGAAAUUGAUCGUUACUGUUUGAAGACUUUGACUAAAGACUUUCUCAAUCCCCGAAUCCUAUUUCUUCAGUCACUUUGUCUUCUGCCUGCUUAUCCUGUUUUACACGCUACCUGUGUUCUGUGUAUGUUUCAUUUCAUCAUGAUGAUUAUGCUGCUGCCUUGUUAUGCAUGCACCUGAGUACUUAUUCCGCUGCUUGUAGUUCGUCACUUAGCAAAUUCCUCAACAAGUAUUUCCUCAGUGACGAAUUCGUAAAAAUCGCAUAUUCAACCCCUUCUAGUCGAUAUAACGUACUUUCAACAACUUACAACAAUUGUGUAUGUAUCAUCGCGGACAAUCAGUGACGAUGAAGGUUCUAUUUAGGAUUUUAGCCUCGUCAAUGGUGGACCGAUCAGUGUAGCAUGUUUUGUAGCAUCAACUUAAUUUAUUGUGAUAGGCGGACAAUCAAUGACAAUGGAGGUUUGUUUUAGGCUCCUCGGUCAAUGGUGGACCGAUUAGUGUAUCAUGUUUUGUUGUAGUGUCACUUUAAUUUAUUGCGAGAAUAAACUAGGUGGGCUAGAUAAAUAGUAUAGACCAAUAAAGCAGAAAUUGCUAAUGUAGCUCCAGCUCCAUGGAGUCCUAAAUUUUUAAAAUUAAAAAAAAUAUAGGUUUAAAAUAAAAAUAAAAAUACGCACAUACCCAUGGAUCUAUAGAAUCUAUACUACUUUUCUAUAAAGUUUCCUUGACAAAUAGAUUUUAUGCAAGCUACACAAAAAUAACAAAGUCAUGUAUUUCUAGCACAUGUAUUGUUUAUUAUAGAACUACACUAUUUUGUUUUUUACAACUCACAUCAAUCCGUAUUUCGUAAUGAAAUUUUACACACAUCUAUUAUACAUGUAUAAGUACUAUGUACUUAUUUUCAGAAUUUUUUGUAACUUAAAAGGUUCAUUUUUGAAUUUUUGUAAAUCUCAAGCUCCAUGGAACCCGAGAGACAAAAAAGCCUCGCUCCCUAUAAAACGAAUACUUUGACUUUUUUCUUUUGAUGAGGGGGCAAAUGAAUAGUUUGACAGGACCGAUUGGUGUAGCAUAUAUAAGUUUGACGCUCAUGAGCGCCCCGACUGGGCUGGCCCAUUUGUGUGGAACUGUAGCAAGCAAUUUUUUUAGCUUCUAUUUUUGUUUUCAUUCGUUUUUUAAAACGUUUAUGGACAUUUUUGAACUUUUAUGAAAAUAUUUUUAAAAUUAUGAAUGUUUUAUAAAUUUUGAUAUUUUCUAUAAAGUGAACACUUUUACUCUUUUGAUCCAUAUUACUUGUCACUCAAACGGAUGUAUCAGAUUGGAGGGAGUAUUUUUUUAGAAAGGAGAUAUUUUUAAGUCAUUUAUAUUUUAAAAAAAAUUGUGAUUUUUACAAAAAAAAAUUACAUUUUGCUAUUUUUUAAAGAAAAUUAUGAACAUUUAAUUUUUUUGAAUAGUUUUCUAAAAUAAUAGGAAAACGAAAAAACGAAGAGAAACCCUAUUACUAGAUCCAAUUUGAUACAAAUUUAUUGGGGGGGGGGACUCAUGGGAAUGUGUUCUUAUUUAUUGAUAGGCUUUUGGUUUACGCGGCCAAUCGCAACGAGUGCUUGUUGUUAGCGUGAAAACGAGAAGUGAUUGAUUGAAUGAAUCAGUCUGUUCUUUCCAUUGAUCAAUUGGGUAUAUAUACAAGUAGAGGGGUGCCUCAAGAGAGCACCGACGAAGGAAGAGGCACCCGUACCGGACACAGGCGUCCGUACAGGGGAAGGGAUGCGACCCUACGGACACAGGCGUCCGUACGGCGCUUUGGACAAAAUAACCUAUUUCUAACACUCCCCCUUGUACAAUGCCGUCUUGUAUUAGUAAUCAUCAAUCUUCGGAAAGUCCAGUGUUUAUAAUCGAUCAUCUUGUAUAACUCCUCCAAAAACCCUGUGGGAAAAAUAUGAGGAGAAUAGUGCAGAUAUGUUGCUAAAACUCCUUUAAACCUAGUGGGAAAAUAAGGAGAAAAUGAUACAACAUAUAAUGAUUAUUGUCUCCUUGAUAACUCAUAUGAGAAAAACCUUUGAAGAAGGAGAAAAACUCGUUGAUGAGUUUGGAGAACAAUAUAUAUGCUUGAUAUACUUUCAUUUAAAAUCCCUAUUGGGGAAUGUUGAAAGUAUUGCAUAUAUCACCUCAUUAAAACCUUUUAUGAGAGACUUCGAGAGAAAGCUCAUAAGGAAAAAGAGUGUGAUCUGAUAUGUCAUUGAAAACUCCUUUAAAACCCAGUGGGAAAAAUAUAAGGAGAAAUGGUAUGACAUAUGAUGGUAAUUGUCUCUUUGAUAACUUAUAUGAGAAAACCUUGAAAGAACAAAACUCAAUUAGUAAGUUUAGAGGACAAUUAAUAUGCCUUGUAUACAUCCGUUAAAAAACCCGGUGGGGAAAAAACAGGAGGUAUGACAUAUAUUCUUGUGUUGAUAUUACCUCAUUAAAAACCUUGAUGAGAACCAUGAGAGUAAACUCAUAAAGGAAAAAAGAGUAUAAUACAAUGUUUGGAUAGGUUAUAUUUCAGGAAGGGACUCCCCCUGUUCCAUGCAAUUUGGUGCAAUACGCUUAGUGAUAUUGCUUAUUAUAUAACCCGUUUGCAUCUAAGCAACACAAGUAUUAUUACCAUUGUAGAUAAUAGUUGGUGAUUCAAUAGAACCAAUUCCACAUGAAUGUUGUAUGUGGUUUAUCCUUCUGUAAAGCAACAUAUAUUAAUAUGAGGUCAUGUAUUUCAGAAUGAUUGGUAGAUCUAGCCACUAAGGUCUAUUUUAAAGACUUCUAUAGGAUGGCCAUCACAUCAAGUGAGUACACGACGUGUGUCUACGAUCUGACAUAGUGGGGAUCUGAUCGAUGUAUCCGAUGAUAUUGGUGUCCAUAUUUAACUGGAAAAUUAGGACAAGGUGUUUGAUGCAUGCCUUGGAGAUAUCAAAAGAUAUUCUCGAGUCUAGACGAAUUGCGUUUGGUGGAUCUAGUGGCACUAGAGUAUGGAACCUUGGGUCCCAAUAUCUUAUUUCCAUCUUCUCAUGGUUUAAAAUGGAUCUUUCUCUAUGUUUAGAGAUUGAACAACCAUGAAAGUUAUAGGUGGAUAAGACUUGUUCAUGUCCAAUAUAUUCUUGAUAUAGACAACAUGGUGUAUCAUAGUAUAUGAGUGAAGGGGCUCGAAUUGUAGCUGAAGCAAAGUUUGUUUUUACUUACACCCUUCACCUCAAAUUCCCUCUAUGGAUGAUUACGUUCUUCAUCAAUAUCUUGUGUGUUGUCAAUGAUGUUAUAAUCAUUACCAUGCACUGAUAGUGGAAUCCUAAUGAGGAUAUGUUGAUGAACACGCAUGGGAAAUCAUCAUUAUUGGAGUAUCCUUUUUCAUAAGGAACUCACUAAGUUGAUUGUACCAAAUUUAUUUCGACUAUUAUAAGCCAUGUAGUGACUUAUUGAGUUUACACAAAACAUGUUGCCCUUUCAUUUUGGAUUCGGAAUUGAGAUUCCCAUGAGGAACUUAUAUGUCUGAAUCAAGUGACACAUUAAUAUAUGUGGUCACUACAUCUAUCAACUAUAUAAAUAGAUGAUUUGUACCGCCAUUGAGAUAAGUUAUCAGAAAUUGAUUUCAUUUGUGUAUGGAGAAUCGAUUUGGGUAUCUGCGUGAACCCUUAUGCUACAAGCCUUGCUAUUCUUCUUGGAUUACAUCCUUUGUUUGAGUCCAGUCCGAGCGAGUAUUAUUUAAACUCUUCCAUGGCCAUGGUCUUUGGAUCCGGAUCAUUGUAAAGGUUGUUUGCAAUCAUGAGAAAUUUAUGUCGACAGUUGUAGGCUUUCAUUUAUAUGAUUCUCCAGAAUGUAUAAAAUUUUGGUGAAAUCUUUUUACCCUUGAUGACUCUUCAUGUUUCCCAAUACGGUUGAGUCUUCCGAUGUCCCAGUCAUUAUGUGCACUGUUGAGCUGGGUUAUGGAGGUUUCCCUCUCAUUGGGUGUAUACUACCCAUUAGGUGUCUAUCAACGUGAAGUUGACUUGAAUUUAUCGAGUCAGAGGCCUCAAUAUCCUUUGUUGCUUGCGGAAAGCUAAAUCCUGAUGUAUUGUGACCGUACUUCUCCCCUUCUUGUUUUGAAUGGGGAGUUGAGUGGUUUUUGUUGGUACCUCCACUCUUUUGGGCAUAUUUUUGUAAGAUUAUAGGAUUGUGUGACACCAUUAUAGUCGGUAAAUGGGAUUGGCAGGUUAUUUGCAAUGUGUUCCAAAUAUUCUAAACAUUGGGUUUAGAUCUUUGAGUACGUGGAUUUGAGGUAGAAAUGUGUUGAACAUUCCAAGUGAUUUCCUGGCAUUCUUUUUGAUACUUAAAAUCUCCCCCUAAUGCCUGGAAAUGUACCUCACUGAGCAUACUAGCCAUGAAUAACUCCCCUUGAGAAGGGCUUAAGGUAUUUAUAGUUGACGGAAAUACUGUUAUUCCUCACAUAGAUCCCAAUUUUUUUUGAAGGGCCAUUGAUGUAUGCUAUGGUGGUGAUAUCGGUAUGGAACCGAAUUAUCCCAGAUGGGAAAUACUUUUGGUUUGCACGUACUAGUUUUAGAGGGGGUGUACUACGAUAUGUAGUAUGUUACAGUUGAAUUAAGUCAGGGGUGUGUAAAACCGCAUGACUCCAACGUCAAGUUGGUAAGAUACAAUUCCAAAGUAAAGAUCAUGCAAUGAGCUUAAUUAUUUGGAUAUAGGAUGUUAUCAAACCAUUUUACAACUGGACAUAUGGGACAAUGUGCUUAAUUUACAUCACAGGGCCAUGUUCAUGGCACGCAAAGAGAUUUGCAACAUUGUCCAUUCGAAUUUCAUUGAAAUUGAUCUUUUAGGAUAAUGAGUCAAUGGUUCAUGUGGGUAGAUGCACAUAGAAGACCAUCAUGUAGAUGUGCCUUUUAGAACCAUGGAACAAACUGAAUAGUCCAAUCAAUGGUUGAGAAGUACCGCUUACCUUGGCUUGAUGCGUUCAAGGAAUCUGAGUGAUUAAACACUUUAAGGUGCCAGGACCUUAAAAUUAGCUUUCCUUGUCACAUGUAGUGCACAUAAAAUCCAAAUAUUGCUAGAACUUAGCAUCAUUUUAGGCAUGAUUAAUGGAAUUGCUGAUAGUUUUCAUUUCAAGUCAAUGCCAGAAUGACCAAGGUGAGUGUGCUAAGUUUGUCAUGUAAAUAACAUUCUGGAAACUAUCUUGUAUGCAACAUGUGCUACGGGUUUUGUAGUAUGUAUAGAGCAAUUCCGAUGAUACACAGAGAAUGUGCUUUUAUAUUUGUUGCAUAUGGUAAAGAGAAUAUAUUUCUCUUUGUUGUCAUCAUGAGUUUUUAUAUAGAAACUAUUUUGACAGAUAUCUCUAUAAUUUAGCGCGAUACGAGUUGAACCUGGACUCAAUAAAGAGAUCCUUGCUGGUUCUUGAGUAUCCAUAGGGACAGCAAUAUGAUCCGAAUGGAACCAAUAAUUACAUCAUCGCGUCUAGCGAUUGUUAAAAUAUCUCUUUCUCUCUUAGAAAGAGUGUAAAUGUUUUUUUUACUGCCCUAAGUAUAGAGUUCGUGGUGCAUAUGUCCACAAGGCACUUAUACUCUUUCAUAAGAUUGACUCCCGUAGAAAUCUAUAUAUAGUUUUGAAGAUUCUCAAUACGAAAAUCUUUAUUAGAUAUAUAGAAUACAUACAAAUGAAUUUGUAUCAAAGUGCUGAUAGAUUAUAUUGUGAUGAACAAUAUAUAAUGACAACGACAACAAUGUAUUUAUUACAACAAUAAAUGGAUGUUAAUAAGGAGUUGGGAGACUAGUGAAAUCUUGAAAACAUGUCAUGCAAAGCAUAUUUGAUGACCAUGUUCUCCUUGUUGAUGGGAUUUCAUGACUGUUGGAGUGCUUUGUUGUCACAUGAUGUGAACAAUAGCUUCCUUGAUACAGUCAGAUUGAAGAUUGAAGUGUGCUUCAUAUCUUUACCCUUCAGCGGAUCGGUCGUGUCAUGGAUUGUUUGAACAAAUUGAUCAUAUGUCGUAGGGUAUGGCAUUUUGCGGGAUGCUGGUAGCAUACACAUUUUUGACAAAGAUUAGUUCUUAAGAAACUUCGUCUUUGUAGUGCCUUUCCCAUGAUCCGACGCAUGUGGCUUGUGCUUCUUGUUGCAUUUGCAUUUCCCUUUGCAGUUUGUUGAUUGACUUCUAGGAGAGCAAUCAAACUUGAUAUCCCGAAAAUGUGCAUAUACAACAUGUAGAGGAGAAACACUGACAUGGUUGUGAUGAUGAUUCCUAAGGAUUUCAUUACUUUUCUCCUCCUAGAGUAGUAAAUGCAGAAGAUCGGAGAUAAACUAGGCAUCUUUUGCAUGAUAUUGUUGCUAUAAUUAAGAUCCUAUUAACGAGAAAGAUAGUAGACAAUGUCUUCUAUUUUCACCAUAAUGUGGGUUGUUUUUGCAAAUUGCAAGCUGAAGCAAAUUUUAUGAACCUCGUGAUGGUAUUCUCCUACGGAUUUAAACCUUGGAGUCGGAGAUGUGUUCAAUCAUGAUUUGCUUUAGACAAGAUGAUUGCCUCGUGAUGUUCAUACCUUAUUGAUAACUUGCCACAUGUUGACUCAUAAUUUUGAUUUGCUAGCGGGGCAUGCACCAUGGGGUGGUUGAUGUGCCGCUAUAAUUCCAUGAGACACAUUGUUGACCUCAACAUCCAUAUGCCAUGUAGAUUUAGUUGUGACCGUCGAGAGUUCGCUCAUCGAAUUAUGGUCAUCUUGGCUUACAUGGGGUUCAAACCAUAGACUUUUUAUUUUAUUUACUUGUCAGUAAAUUAGAAGUCAUCAUGGUAAUGUUGUAAUAAAAUUUUGCAAAGUUGUGAGUUCAAGUGAAGACUUGAAUGUAGAUCUCAAAUCAUCUAUGAUACACUUUGGAGAUAAUUACAUCUAUUAUGAGGUAUAUCUCGCAGUACUAAGAAACAUAAUCUGACUAUAGUCAGUUGAUGUCUUGGUCUUAGUACUUAUGUUAUUAUAUGAUUAAAAUAUAUGGAAGAGCACUAUGAAGGUAGUCAUAAUGUCAAUUUUGACAAAAUGUAGACCUUAUAGUAAUUGUGGAUAAUCUGCAUAUUGCGCAGUAGAUGCCACAUUACCUUGUGAUCCCAUAUAUAAAUUUGAGAUGGUAACUUCACAAUUUUAUUUUUUGCACAUCAAUUCAAUUCGAAUUAAGUCAUUUUUGUGCUUUUCAAGCUUUUUUGGACUUAAAUAAUGGUGAAUUGAUAUUUUAUUUUGCACGAUAAUUCUGCUCGAAUCAAGUCGAUUUAGUGCCUUUUAAAGGCAUUUCAAACUUAAUUAAGAUGAAUUAAUAAGGAUCUCCAUUGCAAAAUAAUACGUUGUACCAUGUGUAUAUGUUGUAGGGAUUGCAAAGUGCAAACACAUUGAACAUAUAAUUCAUAUGUAUCAUAUUGUCUAAAAGAUCAAUAUACAAUACAAUCGGGUACAACUUUAAAUACAUAAAUAUAAAAUCUAAACAUGACAAGUACUUAUUACAGCACUAGUAGUUGGAUCUAUAUUAUAAAAUUACAAAUAUACAGGGCUAAAACUUGAUAAAUACUAAAUAGUAUAGAUAGUUGGGCGAAUGCAAAAAAAAAUCUGCAAAUUAGCCUAUGCCCAUGGUUUUUUUUUCUAAAGUGGGAUGCAGCCCACUUGGUCUUUCGGCCCAGGCCCAGGCCGACCGCCGCUUAAUCCAGUGGAUGGAUAAGAGAGCGAGUGGAGGGGGAGCGGUCGUGUUUGACCGCAUCCCUGCCUCUCCGCCUCUCCACCCCCACCUGAUCCCGACGACGAUGGCCGCCCGAGCCCGGUGCCGGCGAGCUCUAGGAGGGGCCGCCCUCCUCCGCAGCGUAGCCAGGGAGGUUGAGGCCGGCUGGGCCCCAGGCGCCUGAGCGGAGGGCGGUGGAGGCGGUGGGCUUGCUGUUGGCGGCGGCGGCGGCGAAGCGGGGCCGGGGGGCGCGGUGGCGUUGGGGCCGGGGGGCGCGGUGGCUUUGGGGCCGGGGGGCGCGGUGACUCGGAGGACGACGCCUUGUCCUCGAUCUGCAUGCCCGUGGAGGUGUUGAGGUUGAGGAUGGGGGCGCGGCGCUGAGGCCGGGCGAGGGGCACGGCCGACGGUGCAGGGGCCGAGGCGCGGCCGCGGGCGACCGGCCGAACGGGCGUGGUGCCGUCUCGAGAGGAGCAGCGUCGGGGCCGACGUCUCCUCUGCACUCGUGGCGUCGGACGUCGUGAGGACCCGCACCGGCGACGAGUUUGCCAACUGGGAGGACGGGGCUUCGAAAGAUGCCACGGGCGCGGCGCGGCGUGGCUGAGCGCAGGGCAGCGGCCGCACUACGGCCGGGCCAGGCCGGGCGGACGGGCGAACGGCCGGCGCGACCGGACAGCGAAGGCGGGGCGCGGGCGCUACCGGACGAGAGGUGCGGCCGGCGGCGUGGAGGCCAUGGUGCGGCCGCGGGCGGAGCGCCACGAGUUGCUUGGCCUUCUCGCUCUUCGGAGAGCAAAGUGCUGAUAACGUGUUAGCGUGAAAACGAGAAGUGAUUGAUUGAAUGAAUCAGUCUGUUCUUUCCAUUGAUCAAUUGGGUAUAUAUACAAGUAGAGGGGUGCCUCAAGAGAGCACCGACGAAGGAAGAGGCACCCGUACCGGACACAGGCGUCCGCACAGGGGAAGGGAUGCGACCCUACGGACACAGGCGUCCGUACGGCGCUUUGGACAAAAUAACCUAUUUCUAACACUUGUGAAAAAGCUUUUGUAACUAAUCGUUUAGGGGAUUUUGGUCUAUUAUUAUGAAUUUUAGGUUUUCUUUGUAUAACAGGUAGUUUAGUGUUUAGGGGCAAUUAAUCGGCACAAUAUUUUGAGGCAAUGAGCAUGCCAAAAUUAGCAUGAAUUACCAUCAAUCUAGGCAUUUAUCAAAUCAAUCAAUGAUUACCACUAUGGGCCGGCCCAAAAAGCACUUACCUGCGCCCCUGGUCUUUCUUUUUCUUCAAAUCCAUAUUUUUCUCUUUUGUAUGCAAAGGUCGUUGAUUCGGCAAUUGAUGUGCCAGCUCCGGAAAACCGGCUGCUCCUUGCUCCGAUGAAAAGGAAAGAAAAAUUAUUAUUAUUAUUAUUCAAUUUUUACAAAAAAAUAUAAAAUGUUUGAAAAAAUAUUUGCCAUAUAUUAAAAAAUGUUCAGCCAGGUCAUCCCGCGCAAGAUCAGCUGCCUCAUUAGCCGCCCACUUGGCAUUGCGCUUGACCGUCAAGAUUACUAGAAAGGAAAAACGGCCGACUGCUCGGCACAAGCAAGCAACGCUGAUCAAAGACUGAUGUUGUGGAGUUCGGUAAGCAAGCUGUUAAUCAUGGCGCACAUGAGCUCGGUUUCUUGCCUAGGACAAUGGCGCCCGGUUUACUUGCCAAGGGCUACAUGCCCACCGUAAUUCCAUAAUAAAGCCUACGUUUUCGCUCAAAAAAGGAUAAGCCGGAAAGAAAACACAUUACGAACCCCAUAGCGGUGCGUCCGUCCAGAGGAAUGUGUACAUGGCAAGCUGCUUUAUAAGAAUCCGAAGUCUCAGGACACCACUCAGCAUACUAGAUCGAAAAAUUACCGGUAUGAUAAGCAUGUAAAACCAUGCAAUCAAGCAGCAUCCAGAGUUCCAGGGCAUUGCUAGUCAGCAGCGCCGAGCAUGCUUACUUAGAUUAGUGGGCAAGCAGCACCCACUCGACAAGCAAGCCAAUGAUUCAACAAUACUCCCUCCGAGAUGACUCAACUUUAUACUAACUCUAGUACAAAGUUAAUACAAAGGUGAGUCAUCUAUUUUGGAAGGAGGGAGUAUAUAUUAGGAGUGCGCUGAAGAAACCAGCGCAAUGGAUUUAAGAGACGAGACAAACUCUGGUCCGGAAUCUAUAUACAGCUAGCUGAACAGGUAGCACUGCGGCAGCAUCUAGUGCACAAAACUUACUGUCAUUGUGUCUAGAUCAAAUGAACAAGGGCAUGAUAUCAAAUGCUAAGAAGUUUAUCAAGCAAGCGCAUGAAAAGAAGGUGAAAUAUGAUUGUGCCGUGAGGAACUCCCUGGGUGUGGGUGAUGUCAUUCAGUUCUUGUAUGGAGAAUAUGGCAUGGAUGCUGUUUGGAUUGAACCACAGAAAUUGGACAACCUGAGGCUGAGUUUGACAAUGUAACUGGAUGGUGAGAACUGGAUGCCACUUACAUGAUUUGAAGAGCAUUCGUGAAUUCAGAGAUUGUGUUUGUGGCAGAGUUUCAGAAAUUAGAAGCUGGCAGAUUACAUGGCCCAUGCCUGUCAACCUCAAGCGGCCUAUCUGGAAUGCUCAAAAGACUUUCAAGAUUGAUUUGAGAAGACCUUCUGACAUGCACCCGAUGGAAAUUGUGGAAGCAAUAGAUAAGUUGCAGGAAAGACACCUCUACACCAGGACUGACGAAGGGACGCAGCUUUGUCUCUAGAGAAAUUCACCUGACCGUAGGAUAGCCGUAGCCUGCUGAUUCGAUGUGUUUGUACCUCAGUUUCACCGGGACUUGAAUUUCUACUCUGAAAAUGAACCAUGAUAUCUGCAUCUCUGACUUCCUUCAAAGGACAGCUAAAGUACAGUAGCAAUUGAGUAUUUCCCAACACACCCUGAGCUCAGGUACAGAACCACAUGUUGAUGUCGUUCUUGCCUUCUCAGGCAAAGAACCACGUGUGGAUUUCUUUCUUGCUUUCACAUUAUUUCCUCUAGACUGCUAGACGUCACUGACUACACUCCUCCAAGCACCCCCGUUGUAUUAUUUCCCAACUCUUCCUGAACUCGGGCAAAGACAACCAAGUACAAGUUCUUCCAAUGCGAACCUAGUAAACAUCAAUUACCAAACCCUCUAAUUAACCUCUACACUCGAAGAACACCCUCCUCCAAGCACUCGCAUUAUUCGGGAGAUACACUGCCUUCUUUAUUUGAGGUACGCAUAUAUCACUGCAGUUAUGAUUACCACUACCUUCCAAGUGCAGUUCAGGAUCAGUCAACACCCUGGUAGUGAAAAAUACAGUAUUAGGGAACUCGUGAACCAUCGCACUUGCUUGCAUCUGCUACACUGCAGGUCAAGCUUCCAUUACGCUACUACGCAUCUCUUGUCCCCCAAAUUGCAGGUUAAUGGCAUUCUCCGUGGAAGAAGUUACCCACAACAUCUUUCUGGAGAAUUGUUGUAGAUGAGGCACUCACUUUCCUUUGGGAUCAUAUAUAAGAAAAACACCGACCUAGUACAGCUUCAGAAAGGACUCUAAGUUCAGUCAGUUCUAAAACUGAAUCAUAAAAAUGAUGCAUUUCAAAGCUUGAAUCAUAUGAUACCACAUUGGGACAACCAUUUACUAUUUAAUUAUUACGCCAGUAAGGACUGUAACUAUGUAACUUCUACUCACUUAACUCACUCUUACUCAAUUUCAAAUAUUUGGAGACCAUGCAAGUUCUAAUGCAAACGAUGCAGUUCCCUCCACAUUUUCUCAUCCGGGCUUGGGACCGGCAAAGGCAGUGUUAAACUACUCCUACUUAAACACAAAAAUUAGCAAACACUACAUCCAAAUUCAGCUAAGCACACACAAUCAACCAAAGACAGCAUUGGCACAACACACAAUUGGCAAUAAAUUUUCACGCAACGUUUUCACAAGAAUGAGAGUGUGUUCAAACCUUUAAUCUUGAAAAUAAGAAUAUACCAACAUCUAGAGGAUGAUUAUCUUUCGCAGUUUUAUCCCAUUAAAGGGUCAGAGGAGAUACUUUCGUGUAAAAUAUCCAGGCUGUAUGGACUAUGAAACAUAAUGUGUAGCAUAUGUAUAGCUUGAGUUAAGAGUAUGCAAUUGGCAACAAAAUUGAAAUUAGGGAGUCUAGAGGAUGAUUAUGUAAUUAAAGACUUGAAGAGAUGCCAUAAACCAGAUCAAGUUAGCCAUUAGAAGACGGUAAGAUGUGUGAAAGCUUUUUUGUCUUUAAUCCAGGAUGAAUGAACUUCGAAUUAGCCAGACUGUUUUGCUAGUUGUCAAAUUAAAACUAGGAGGUUCCCCAGCAAACUGAGAAGAUGCAUUGAAUUGAAGAUAUGUAAUCCAGAUCCCACUGGAGAAGCACCAAUGAGAAGAGCAUCAUUUUCUGAAAAUCAAUUCCAUACCAACAAACCGGAAUCAUAAUCAGUGGAGGUGAAAGUAAUCCUAGACAUCUGGAGCAGAGUGUUAAGCGCAAACUAUUUGUUCAAGCUUCCAGUUCAGAACCUUUAACUCUCCAUUGUUUUAGUAUACGGCAAUAACUCCUAGCCUCUUUCUGCAUAUCAAGUCAUAAACAUUACCAGACUACAAGUCAGGAGGCUACUACUGUUAAACCAACUUUAGUGAGAGAGCCAGCAAACUAGGUGGGAUCUUUAUCCUAAAGAACUCACCAGGAAAAUAGUUAAAUAAACAAACCAAGUGUGGACAAAUAUAUGUGGUAUAGUAGACCGACAAAUCCAAGUGUAUAUGGAGAUCUUUUACUGCAUACAGAGCUCAUGUACAUAGGUGAUAAAUUUGCAGCUGAAGAUAUUGCUGCUAGAGAUAAAUUUAUAGAUACAAGCAGCCUAAUAUUAAACUAACUUCCGGAAACAGUAUGGCAACCAUCUAGUGAUUAAUAGCCAAAUCAAAAGUUGAUAAUCUCCUAUACAAACUUUGAGUACGGACUGGUAUUUCCAUUGUUGGGCCCUUGAGACUAAAGGAACUUCCAGUUAAGACAUCAAUACUUGUAGCAUUUUGUUGAUUUGGAGCAAAAGAUGAGACAUCCAAACCACAUGCAAGUUGAAGCCGAUGGCACACAACAGAAACCAAGUAAGAUGCUUCAGGACGGUUGGAAGAAUCAGAUGUGCACACUACUAACUCCAAACUACCACUGAAUGCAAGUUCAAACUGAAAGCUGCCACAAAGACCAAAUCAAGUAUAAUAUGCUUCAGGAUCAGGGUUAAUCAGAGGUCAAAAACAUCCGGGAAGCAGAUGAUCCAUUUGCUUCACCAAAUCCCCCCACCAACUGACGUGUUGCUAGACUUUCCAACUCUACAAUUUUCCAACAGGAAUGAUCAAUGAACAGCCCAAAUAUAAUCAGAAUACUUGAAGUUUCUUGAAGGAAAGUCAGAACAUAAUUAGAACUGGACAAUGAGUUGAAAAAAGCAUUGAGCAUAGGUACUCCCUCCAGAACGAAGCUCCCAAACAAGCUUUUAGAAUUCUUCACCUCUGCGGAUCAGUUUGAAUACUCAGACUUAACAGCUAACUGGUUUUCUAGCUUAUCGAUAGAAAAAUGUGAAAUCAGAAGGUCUCCAAAAAUAAAUUUCACGCAGCAUGACAUCAGAUUUCUGUUGUAAAAUUGUCAAGUACACCUGCAAUGAACAAAAGACCAUGAUGCCUAACCAUUUUUGAGAAAGCUAAGAAUGUGAACAAAUAUAGCAAGGGAGAUAGGGAAGCCUGGUUUAGUGAAGUUAUGCACAUUGGUUUGAAUUAUCCUCAUUGUAUGCCACAUCUGCAUAGAACUAGGAGUUACUGACAAGAAAGAACAAUGUUUGGAAUGUUAAAAGUUAACAGAGAAAUGAAUCACGAAGAAUCUCCUAGAGCUCUGCACCAUUCCAAUUAUUGAGCCAAAAAGUAGUCCGGGCAAGCCUACGCUCAAAUGCUGGAGAACAACCAAAAAUCCAAAUAAUACUCAGAACAGAAACCAAACAGUCCAGUCACGCCUCAAGACACUUAUGAAUCCUCAACUAUGCGGGCAUGACCAACAAUUCCAAUCCCAAACUUGUAAGAUAUCAUCCGAACAGCUAAGCCAUGAAUCACCCAAACCUCUACCCUACAAUACGAUCUCCACUGUCUCGUAUCUGAAGGAACAAAUGCGCAUAUCAUAAACGAGAUGAAAUUCACCUUGUAUUACGUGACAGACAGAAUCGUUGAUUAGCCAUUGGAGAUUGAAGAAGAGGAACAAAGCUAAUUUUUGCAUUGAGAGCAGACCAAACACUGACCUGACUCCACAGGGCACACCCACCAAUUCCAACAUAUACUGCAAAGAACAAGCCCAGCAGGCCAACAGACCAACAGAAACACAUGGAUUGGGAGUACAGAUAACAAAGUGAGAAACCAAAAAGGCAACAUAUUUUGAAUGGCUACCAGCAUGACUUGAUCAAGCAAAAGGCAACCAAGAUAGCAGAAGUUUCUUCAGGAACUCGGCAUAAGAUAGUUUUUCGGUUGUAGAGAGCACCGAAUUUUUUCGGUUGUAGGAUGUCCCAGAGCAACCUCCGAAUCUUAUACAUCCACCAAAUCAAUAUGAAUGUUCAAAUUGUCUCCAUAAGAUAAUUUAUAUAUGUUGAACAAAUUGCAAUGAAUUGGAAAGGGUUUAGAAGAUCUUCAAACAGAUAACUCCGGAUCAGGUUGGACCUAAAUAGUCAAUUAGGACCUGCAACGACCAACAGACCUCUUCCCAUGAAUAUUUGCUUUGGGGAGACGAAGCUACUUAUAAACAGCUAAAUGAUGCAUCAAAACAGUGAGGGGAUAGGAUAAGCCUGCUUGGCUGGGAGAGAUCAGUUAGGCAACAACACCAGUUCCAGAUAGCGAACUAUAUUAUCUCUCAUCCAUGUCAAUAUCUGCAAGGACACGUAGUUACCAAGGGCAGAGAAAACCAUAGGAAGUACAAUGUUCAAAGCAAAUCAGGAAAGAUUGAAGUCAACAGAAGAAAACGCCUGUAACAUGGUGAAACAAAACAGAGCACCUUCCGGAAAGUCCCCAUAAGUCCACUAGCUGGAGAACCAACAAUCCAUAUCAGAGAUGUUGUAAGCUAAAUUUGACAGCACACAAGAUCCUAGCUUAUAAUCAGCCAUUGAGCCAUAACCAAUCAAAGUAACCAUGAACAGUAAAGCAAACCUUAAUCCUUUGAUUCAUCACUCCACAACAUCCUGCAUCUCAAGGAGCACAAACACAUACCACAAGCGAGAUCAGCUGUUACAACGAGAACCAAUUCACCUCAUAUUGAGGCACAGCCAUACUGAUGAGCCACAGACAAAGAUAAAUUGAAGAACUCAAGGUAUAGCCACUUAAAUCUUUUGUCACCGAGCACAGAUGAGGGAUACAGUAAACCAGUGUGACCAAACAUGGGAAACUGACCUGCCUCAAAAGUCCCCUUCACCAUACUGUUAUACACCAUAGGGAGCUUCAUGUCCAGGCCAGAUCCAGAUCCAGUCCUGCAAGCCAACUCAUGGAGGUGGCGCUAACAAAUGAAACAAACAGACCAUCUACAAGACACUGACCUGACUCCAUGUACAGAGCAAAGGUUUGGGCACAAACUCCUAACUAUUAUAUCCUGCAACACUUGCAGAAGACCAAUAGAACACAGGGAUCAAGAGUUAAAGGUAACAAAUCAAACAAUGGAGAGCUAGAUCGCAAACCAAAAUAUUAGAACAGAUUCCGAGUCAUUACCCACAUGGUCUGGGCUAAAAAAAAUCUGCAACCACAGUAAAGGCAGGAGCAAAAACCUAUAUCAAAGAUAUGGCCAAGUAGCUAAAUGAAAUUAAAAGAAGGAUGGCAAGAGUUUUUUCGGUUGUAGGAUGUGCCACUAGUCAAAAGCUUCGGAUUAUCCUUAGAUUCGUGCACCUUUGCAUAUGUAUCUGUAUUAUAAAAUAUUGCCUAGUAAGAUAAUUUGUUGGUUAUGUAAGUUGCAAUGAAUUGAAGGUAUACUAGUAGAUUUAGAAGAUCUGCAAACAGAUUCAUCAUCAGGUUGGGCUCGAGUUUCGUCAACUACAACCUGCAACGAGCAAGAGACCUUACUAUAAAUUUUCAAUUAGGGAAAAAUGUUACUUAUAAAUAGCCAAAGCAUGGAUCAAACGAUGGGGCGGGAACAAGUAAGCCUGUCUCGGAUAGGAAGUUCAGCUAUGGUUGACGGACGACAACACCACCAGUUCCAAAGUGCAGUUAUAGCCUUUCUAUGUCAGUAUCUGCAAGAGCUGAGAAUUACCGACCAAGGCAGAGAAAACCUAAUGUCAUGACAAUAAGAAAGGUUGAAAAAGUUUGAGCCACAGAAGGAACCGCCAUGCUGAGGCAAAUUAGGACCGCCCGCUAGGCCGUGUAAUUCCAAUUUCUGUACAACCAUCAACAGAUCACAAACAGAAUUGUUGGGUGACUAAUUGAACUCUGGAGAAGAAGAAAUUAAACUGAGUAGGUAAUGAUCAUCCACUGCAGAUCACCAAGACGAUAGGUGCUCCCGCUAAGCCGUAUAACCUCAAUUUCUGAAGAACCACCAACAAAUGCAAAGCAGGAUUAUCGUAGACUCAAGGUGAGCUAUGGAGAGAAAUAAAUGAAAUGGAGGAAGUAAUGAUUCAUCCAAAGCAAUCAGCAAGAAGACAAAUCACCCCUGUCGCUAAGCCAAAUCUAAAUUUCUGUAGAUCCAAUCCAAAUCAGAAUCUCUUGGAGUAAAUUAUUGUACUUCGCAAAUAAAUACGAGUAAGUUAAAAGUCAGAGUGAUCGAGAAUUUGAGAUCAUCCAAACACGGAUCACAAGUUGGAGUUGAACACCAAAACACCGUCCUCCGGAAAGAUCUAUCCAUUUGUAUAAGAAACCAAACCUCAACUCUUCGACUCAUCUCUGCAGAGCCACUACCCUCUUGCUUCUGCUGCAUCUAAAGGAGCACAAACACACACCAAAAGCGAAAUCAGCUGCUACAAUAGGAAUCCACUAGGACCUCGAAUCCACCUCAUAUUAGCUGAUGAUUAUGGAACUCCUGAUGAGAACGAGAAAACCACACGAGUGAUAGCCAUUCACAUCUGACCUGCCUCAAAUCCCCUUUGACAUACAACAUCCCAGGGAUCUCCACAUACAAGAUCCAGUCCUGCAACCAACCCAUGGAAGCCAACAAAAAUGAACCAACCGUCAAGACACUGACCUGACCCCGUGACACGUACAAACAACAGGUUUGCAUGUAGGACCAGAUUUCCUAUAAAUAUAUCAGAUAGCAAUGGGCAGGAAUACUAACGCAGGGAUCAAGAGUACAGAUAACCAAUCAAACCACAAGGAGAUAGAUUGCAAACCAGACGAUUUUAACAGAUUCAGGCUCACUGCCAGUAUUGUCUUAGGCCAAAAUAAAUCUGCAACGACAUGGAGGGCAGAAGAAAAAACCUAAAUCAAAGACAUGAACAUAUAGCUGAAUUAAAUAAAAAUAAGAGGAUAAUAAGAGAUUUAAGUUUUUUCUGGUUCUAGGAUAUGCCACUAAUUUGAAGCUUCAUUCUUGCACCUUUGCAACUAAUCUGAAUUUGAAAUAUUGCCUAGUAAGAAAUCUUAGUACUAUUAUCUAAGUUAAGAAAUUGAGAAGAUAGAUUUAGAAGAACCGCAUGCUCACAUCAAGUUGGUGGCCUUGAGUUCGUGAACUAGGACCUGCAUCGAGCAAGAUACCUUUCUAUAAAUGUUUCAGUUAGGAAGAGAACUAGAUUAAAUGAUGACGAGUUAAGAUAAAAUAAAGUAAGCCUGUAUCGACUGGGAAGGUCAGGUAGACAAGCUCCAAUUAUAUCCCUUGCAAGGCACCAUCUGCAAGAGCUGAGAAUGACUAAGGCAGGGAAACUAAUGUUUGCUGAGAUAUAAUUAUUUCAAUAAGAAAGGUCCAGAAAGUUUAUCCCCAUAAGAAGAAACGCCAUGCCGAGCCAAAUUAGGACCACCCGCCGCUAGGCUAUGUCAUUCAGUUUCUGGAGAGCCAGCAGCAUAUCAAAAUCAGAGUUGUUGGGGGACUAAUUGAAUUGUGGAGAAGAACAAAUUAAACAGAGAGUGAUCAUGCAAACGCAGGUCAGCAAGAAGGCGGGUGGCUCGAAGUGGCCCUCUGUAAUCCCAGUUUCAGGAUAACCAGCAAAAUAUCCAAAUCAGAAUUGUACUGUAGUAGGCUAAAUUGAACCAGAAACUAAAUUAGGAGGGAUUGAUGUAUAUUAUCCAAACGCAGAUCGUGUAUUCCAGCCUGGGUUGGUAAGAGGUCGAAAGCUUGAUCAUCCCAGAAGAUUUGAUCAUAUCAGAAUAACCGUUGGACUGUAAUCAAUCAAUCAAACUAACCGUUGGACUGUAAUCAAUCAAUCAGAAUAACCAUGAACAGAAAUCAAACCUCCGCCACCCCUUCAUCUGUAUCAUCUCUCCAGAACUAAGCGCUGGCCCUCUUGGUUCUGCAUCUAGGAUGAGAGCACAUACACCAAAAGCAGAUCAGCCGGUAAAGUAAGAAUCCACGAGGGCCUCGAAUCCACCUCGUAUUAUUAACUAACUGAUGACGACGGAACUCGGGACGAGAGCGGUCGAUCGGGGAACAAUAGAGCCGGAAGGCCGCACGGUCGACGGCGUUCAAUUCAAUUUCAAAUCUGAAACCACCGACGAGACGAACGCGGGCAGGUGACGGAACCAAGGAAGCGAUCCGACCGAUCGAGCGCGAGAAACUGACCUUGCUUCGGCCCUCCGGUCACCCGAAAUCAAAUCAGACGCAGAGGCAAAACCGAACGGCUCGAGGGAUUCCCCGGUCGAUCGAUCGAUCGCUCCCCGGAGGCGGACGAGACGGGCCGAAUCCCCUGCGAGCACAGGGAGCAGAGGCGACGAGGAGCGAAAUCAAACGCGAUUGAUUCGAAACGAAUCGAGAAUUGAUGGACAAGGGGGAGGAGAGGGUGGCGGAGACGCGAGGAGGCGACUCAGGCGGAGGCACGGCCCGAAGGAGAAAGCUCCGAAAGGAAGAGAGGGAGGAGGCCACAGCGCGGGGUGCAGAGGGCGCACCUGGGGCGCCUUUUGUAGCCGGCGCAGAGGCGGUGGAGGAGGGGGAGCCGGCCUGGCGCCA